rnacentral:lncRNA from 1 species
GCUAUGUUACAUAAACGGAAAGAUGUUGUAACAAAGCUAAGAAUCAGAUGAUGAGAACGAAAAGCAUAUUAAUUUAUUCUUUAUUGAUUAAUUAGCCGGCUCUUAAAUAGCCUAUAACAUUAAAACAACUGCCUCCUACUUUCUUCGGAGGACCUUAACAACUUGAAACAAACUCUUGAGUAGAUAAAUGGCACUACUCCUAUACAAUAGAAACUUAUUGCGACACCAUGCGCGUACGUCUCCCAUAAACCAGCAAAAUAUAUUUUGCUGCACUCAUACUUAACUAGAGGAAGAAGUCAUGCAUGGUUAUUAAUAUGGUGGUCCAGGUGGAGGCUGCGGACCGAAGGGUCUUGGAAUCAAGGUAGCUGAGGGAGGUGGAGGUCCUGGAGGAGGAGGGAGAGGCCCUGGAUGCGGUUGUCUUGGAGGCGGUGGAGGAGGAGGGAGAGGCUCUGGAUGCGGUUGUCUUGGUGGCGGUGGGUGGUAGAUAGGUGAAGGAUAGCCAUGUGGGGGAGGAGGGAGAGGCUGUGGAUGCGGUGGGUGCAGGUAGAAAGGUGGAAGCGGAGGAUGCUCAUGAUGCGGUGGUGGAGGAUGGCGAUGAGGAGAAGGAGGCAUUUUGGUUUGGAGCUUUGUUAUUGCAACGUAUAUGUUGUGUACUUUAGUUUAUAUAAUAAUAUCAAGACUGAAUAUGGUUGUUACCUACAAGUCCUUUGAAGUGUUAGAGAGUCCCAAUGGUCAUUAGUAAUAUGUUAGGUACAAUGGAAUGGUAGUUAUCUACCUAAUCUUUACUGUGGAAAAACUACAACUUCUGAAAUAAUAAAUAAAAAUUGCAUGUAAAUUAAAUAAAAUGCAUAUUUCACAAGAAGUGUAACUUUGGAAGCUCUCUUGUGCACCAAAGGAUUGGCUUAAAAACCAAACAUUAUGACAAUCUUGAGGUUUUAACUCCGUUUCCCUUUUUUCAGAUUCAUUUCAUUAGUUUUGGUAUCUGAACUCAUUUUUCUAAGUGAAAGUAAAUUAUCACCAUUUUACCUUUUGAUUGCAUUGAUGCUCUUAGAUGAUCCUGAUACAGUCUCAUGAAUAAUGGAGGAGUUAACCUUGCAGUAGAUGUCUGGUCAUCAAAGCAAUCAGUGGGUUACGCCUUAGUUUCCGGACACUUUGUAGAUAAAGACUGGAACUUAACUCACCUCCUUAUGAAUGUAUCUGUAGUUGCUUCUCCUGAUUCAGAUUCUGCGUUGAACCAACCUCUCAAAGCUUGCUUGUCUGAAUGGAAACUAGAAGGGAAGGUUUCAAGCAUCACUGUCAGCCAAACAUGCACUGAUAAUCUCAGAUGUUUCUUGUCUGUCAAGAACCAGCAUGUGUUGAAUGGUCAGUUGUUGAUGGGGGAAUGCUAUGCUAACGUUCUAAGCAGUAUGGCUCAAGAAGCACUUGAGGAUGAGAAGUUGAUAAAGAAAGUCAGAGACAGCAUCAAGUUUAUUAAGACGAAUGAAACUUGUGGAGAUAAAUUUGAUGGACUGAAGAAACUCUUUUCAACCGAUACGCGUAUAAAGAUCUUAACGUUGACAACAGAACUAGAUGGGACACAAGUUACAACAUGUUGUUGGCUGGUUAUGAACACAGACAGCUCUUGUCUUGUUUGGAAACUUGUUAUCCUAAUUACAAAAUAUCAUCAAUAUCUCCUGAAGAUUGGAGAAAGAUUGAUGGUCUCUGCUCGUGCUUGAAGGUUCUUUUCGAAGCGGGUAAUGUCUUGACAAGGCCAAAGAAUCUGACAGCAAACGAUUUGUACCAUGAGAUGAUUAAACUUCAGGUAGAGCUGAGCCAUGCAGCUAUGUGUGAAGAAGACUUGGAUGUUAGAAACCUUGCAAACUCGUUUUGGGAGAAGUUUGACGUGUACUGGAGAGGAUGCUUCUUGGUUUUGGCGGUUGCUGUGGUCAUGGAUCCUCGGUGCAAGAUGGAGAUCGUUAAGGCUAACUUCACUGAGAUGUAUGGUGAAGAAGAUGCUGAAAAAUGGAUCAAGACUGUUAGUGAUGCUGUCCAUGAUCUGUACCUUAGCUACGGUGAACAAAACCUGAUGGAUGCUAAUGUGGAUCAUGGCCUUUUGGAAACCACAGAGUCACAUCAACAUGAGGGAGAGCAUAAGGUAGAGAAGCAAGAACUUGGUGAUGAUUCUCAAGCACAGCCACAAGCAGAUGAAGACUACCACAUGGGUGAUGUGCUUCUCCAGGAAGGGACUACUCUAGUGACAAUUGGAGACUCUUUGUCAGACUUUGAGAUUUUCCUCACGGAGCUGAACCGAUAUUUAGGUGAAACGUUGGUUCUGGGGUCAGAAGACUUUGACGUUUUGAGGUGGUGGAGGGUCAACAGCACUAACUACCCUAUCCUCUCUAAGAUAGCUGCAGAUAUUCUACCCAUUCCUUGCAGCACCGUCUCACCUGAUUCCGUGUUUGACACGGAAGUGAAAGAGAUGGACAAUUAUAGAAUCUCUCUUCCUAGUGGAACCUUGGAAGCUAAGGAUUGGCUCAAAAACCCCAAAACAUUAUGACAAUCUUGUGAGAUUUUAACUCCGUUUCCUUUUUUUUUUAGAUUCGUUUCAUUAGUUUUCAUAUCUGAAUUUAUCACUAUUUGCCUUUUGAUUGCAUUGAUGAUGCCUUAGAUCCUGAUUCAGUUUCAGUCUCAUGAAGAAUGACCAUAACCGUGCAUAGCUAUGUUACAUAAACGGAAAGAUGUUGUAACAAAGCUAAGAAUCAGAUGAUGAGAACGAAAAGCAUAUUAAUUUAUUCUUUAUUGAUUAAUUAGCCGGCUCUUAAAUAGCCUAUAACAUUAAAACAACUGCCUCCUACUUUCUUCGGAGGACCUUAACAACUUGAAACAAACUCUUGAGUAGAUAAAUGGCACUACUCCUAUACAAUAGAAACUUAUUGCGACACCAUGCGCGUACGUCUCCCAUAAACCAGCAAAAUAUAUUUUGCUGCACUCAUACUUAACUAGAGGAAGAAGUCAUGCAUGGUUAUUAAUAUGGUGGUCCAGGUGGAGGCUGCGGACCGAAGGGUCUUGGAAUCAAGGUAGCUGAGGGAGGUGGAGGUCCUGGAGGAGGAGGGAGAGGCCCUGGAUGCGGUUGUCUUGGAGGCGGUGGAGGAGGAGGGAGAGGCUCUGGAUGCGGUUGUCUUGGUGGCGGUGGGUGGUAGAUAGGUGAAGGAUAGCCAUGUGGGGGAGGAGGGAGAGGCUGUGGAUGCGGUGGGUGCAGGUAGAAAGGUGGAAGCGGAGGAUGCUCAUGAUGCGGUGGUGGAGGAUGGCGAUGAGGAGAAGGAGGCAUUUUGGUUUGGAGCUUUGUUAUUGCAACGUAUAUGUUGUGUACUUUAGUUUAUAUAAUAAUAUCAAGACUGAAUAUGGUUGUUACCUACAAGUCCUUUGAAGUGUUAGAGAGUCCCAAUGGUCAUUAGUAAUAUGUUAGGUACAAUGGAAUGGUAGUUAUCUACCUAAUCUUUACUGUGGAAAAACUACAACUUCUGAAAUAAUAAAUAAAAAUUGCAUGUAAAUUAAAUAAAAUGCAUAUUUCACAAGAAGUGUAACUUUGGAAGCUCUCUUGUGCACCAAAGGAUUGGCUUAAAAACCAAACAUUAUGACAAUCUUGAGGUUUUAACUCCGUUUCCCUUUUUUCAGAUUCAUUUCAUUAGUUUUGGUAUCUGAACUCAUUUUUCUAAGUGAAAGUAAAUUAUCACCAUUUUACCUUUUGAUUGCAUUGAUGCUCUUAGAUGAUCCUGAUACAGUCUCAUGAAUAAAUACUAUAAAGUUCCCUGUCUCUGCUCUCAAGCUUAUAUAUACUUAGCCAAAACCUCUUACAAUUUCCAUGAAGUAGAUUUCCAUUAGUGACAGCACAGGAUUUCUUGAAAUACUCCUAAGCGGUCGUCCUAAGUUCCUAACCAAUCCUACAUCUGGUUAUACUUAUACAUGAAACCAUAUAACAGUCAAUUUAAACAUACCAAAAAAAUCAGCAUUUUUAGUUGGUUUGUGAUAACGAAUUGAAUCAAAACUUAUAAAUAUUUUGCCCAACUUUAUCGGUAAACAAUAAAAAUAAUAUAUAUAUAGUUUAGCUUUUGAUUCGUUAUUUGUUUUGAUUCGAACCGAAAAAUCCAAAGUUUUAUUGGAACCAUGCAUAUGAGUUUUAUAUUCAAAAAAAAAUACAAAGUAUAUAGUGUGAACACAUUUAUGAAUAUAGUGUGAACGCGUUAACAUAUUUAUUAUCAAAUCAUUGUGAGGCUGCCACGUGUCUAUUAUAGUGUGAAUGCAUUUAUUACAAUGCUUCUCCUUUAAUAUAUAAGGGAUUCAUAUUUCACAAGAAGUGUAACUUUGGAAGCUCUCUUGUGCACCAAAGGAUUGGCUUAAAAACCAAACAUUAUGACAAUCUUGAGGUUUUAACUCCGUUUCCCUUUUUUUCAGAUUCGUUUCAUUAGUUUUGGUAUCUGAACUCAUUUUUCUAAGUGAAAGUAAAUUAUCACCAUUUUACUUUUUUUUUUACUUUUUUUGAUAAUCCAGGUAUCCGAACCUCUCACUUAGUCCGACUAUCCCACCGCGUCCAACCGGAACUGGCGAGGAAGAUCCUGGAGGCCAAACGGAAACCAUGUUAAAUCUGCUGUGGCCGAGGCUCGAACUCGUGAUGGCGGGCAACUCAGCCGAAGUUCCUUUACCACCAGACCACGAGGUCCGGUUACCAUUUUACCUUUUGAUUGCAUUGAUGCUCUUAGAUGAUCCUGAUACAGUCUCAUGAAUAAAUACUAUAAAGUUCCCUGUCUCUGCUCUCAAGCUUAUAUAUACUUAGCCAAAACCUCUUACAAUUUCCAUGAAGUAGAUUUCCAUUAGUGACAGCACAGGAUUUCUUGAAAUACUCCUAAGCGGUCGUCCUAAGUUCCUAACCAAUCCUACAUCUGGUUAUACUUAUACAUGAAACCAUAUAACAGUCAAUUUAACACCAAAGGAUUGGCUUAAAAACCAAACAUUAUGACAAUCUUGAGGUUUUAACUCCGUUUCCCUUUUUUUCAGAUUCGUUUCAUUAGUUUUGGUAUCUGAACUCAUUUUUCUAAGUGAAAGUAAAUUAUCACCAUUUUACUUUUUUUUUUACUUUUUUUGAUAAUCCAGGUAUCCGAACCUCUCACUUAGUCCGACUAUCCCACCGCGUCCAACCGGAACUGGCGAGGAAGAUCCUGGAGGCCAAACGGAAACCAUGUUAAAUCUGCUGUGGCCGAGGCUCGAACUCGUGAUGGCGGGCAACUCAGCCGAAGUUCCUUUACCACCAGACCACGAGGUCCGGUUACCAUUUUACCUUUUGAUUGCAUUGAUGCUCUUAGAUGAUCCUGAUACAGUCUCAUGAAUAAAUACUAUAAAGUUCCCUGUCUCUGCUCUCAAGCUUAUAUAUACUUAGCCAAAACCUCUUACAAUUUCCAUGAAGUAGAUUUCCAUUAGUGACAGCACAGGAUUUCUUGAAAUACUCCUAAGCGGUCGUCCUAAGUUCCUAACCAAUCCUACAUCUGGUUAUACUUAUACAUGAAACCAUAUAACAGUCAAUUUAAACAUACCAAAAAAAUCAGCAUUUUUAGUUGGUUUGUAAACGGGUUUGAUAGGAACAGAAAAAAAAAAAUCACAUCUUAUAGCCUAACUCUGAAUGUUGAUAGGAACAAUUUUUUUUUUCAAACAGAACUACAGAAGGUUAAAUAGUUAGUUAAAACGAGGAUAAUAAUUAGUCAAUAUGUAGUGGGUGAGCGAGCGGCCUCAAAUGUGUAAUGGGCUUUUUAUUGGGUCAUAAAAUAUUUGAGCCCAUUUAACGGGUUGCGUCGUGACUACGAAGUCAAUAUAUAUAAUUUUAUCGAACACAAAGAGAUCCGUCAUCUGAAACUCAAGAGUUGCUUUUUCCCCAAUUCUCAGAUCAGCAUCUAGCCCUAGCUCGACAAAUCCGUCAUGUCGUCCAAGCAAGGUAGAUCAAUUAGUGUUCUUAUCCUCUUAUGAUAUUCGAUUCAUUAUCAUUGAUUCGUUUGCGAUCUGCGUUGUAAAACAGGAGGAAAGGCGAAACCUUUGAAGCAGCCAAAAGCUGAUAAGAAGGAAUACGAUGAGGUGAUGUCUCUACUUAAGCUUUAGACCUAGAAUGAAGCGAUGUUAUUGCUGUCUGCUACUAACCUUAAUAUCAAUGUUUUAGACAUUCUUUUUUACACGUUUCUAAUUUUCUUGAAUGUUGAUUGGGCAUGUACUGCAGCACGAUAUGGCCAACCUUCAGAAGAAGAAAGAUGAGGAAAAGGUUAGUUCCUUUUUUUCAAGCAAAGUCUGUAUCUCCUGCACUAGAGAGAGCCACUACUUUAGGGGGUUGGGUUUUCUAGAAGAGUAUAAAGUGCCACUUUGGUCAUAUUGUCAAAUCUAUGAGCACUAGUAAUGUGACAUUAUACCUGGUGAGUGGUGACUCAACAAGAUGGGGUCAGUUUGUUUAUUGGUUACUUGUUUAGAUAUUCAUUACGGUGUCGUUCUAAUGAAAUUCGGGGAAUGGUAUUGGCUGGGACGCUUAUUUCAACGAUAGUAGUUUGAUUAAAACGUGAACGCUGACCCGCAAUAAGAUGCUUACUUCACUUUGUUCUGACCCAAUGAUGCCAAAAUACAUUUUUAGCCUCUCUUUUGCAUGAGAAGGUCAGACAGGCAUCGUUCUUUAUUGAACGUCUGACCCUUUUUUUAUUUUUUGGACGGGAAUGAUAAAACAGGCACUAAAAGAACUAAGAGCCAAGGCAUCGCAGAAAGGAUCUUUUGGAGGCUCCGGUCUUAAGAAGAGUGGCAAGAAAUGAUCCCUUAUUUCCAUGAAGCCUGUUUUUAUCAAGUUAUAACAGAUACUCGUGUGUUGUGUAACUUGUCUGUAGGAGAGUUGACUUUGCGACUCUCUCAUAACAUACGUUUGCUUUCGACGCUAUUUCAUUUUAUAAAGAAAAAAAAUGGUUUCUAUUUAAAAGUCAAGUUCUGCCAUAGUUCUCCUGAUUCAAGAUUCAGUUUGGUCCAAUCUUAGAAACUGUUGUUUGUCAUAAAUUGAAGACAACAUAUGUUGCAUUGAUAACAUAAGGCUCUAUAAGAUGAGGUAGUAACAAGUAACUAAAAGGUGCAGGUUUCUUUUUAUACAAACAUGUAACUAGUAAGUGAAAUUUUUGAGCUGCGUAAUGGAUAACAAGACGUCUUAGGAAGUGCAUAUUCUAAACGAAAUAGCUUCACCCUAGCCUGAAAGCUGAUCGAGAGGGGUCUUAGAGCCUGAAAGAGCCUGCUUUUCUUCUUGAACCCUUGAUACUGGAAGUAAUGGUGAGCGGAUCAGAGAACUCGUAGUACAUGUCAGUGAAGAAAUUGUCAACAAUGUCAAGGUACACAGGGCUUCUAAUGCUUGAAUAGCAUCUAAGCGCUUCCUGUACAUCCGAAGCAUGCUCCACGUCUCUGAGAUCCACCAUGUUGAAAUCUUUCAUCUUUUGCGCCAGCGUCUCACCUCUUCUCUUAGCCUCCUCCAAUGGCUCUGCAACUUUCUUCUUCUUCGGUUUCUUUUUUAUGUUGGACCUUGUUGAUGAGACUCUCAUCUCUGGUUUCUGCAACAGCUGUGCUCUCAGAAGAGAAAACGCUGUACGUUUCUUCAGUUUGGGAAUCUUGUGGACAGCUACGGUGAAGACUGCACGAGAAGGGGCUCAAGAGUGGAGUGUUGUUGUUUUUAGGUAAGGUGUUGUGUUUACCAAAGCAGAUAGUGGACUUGAUGCUCCCAAGGCUCUUCCUUAAGAAACGACCAACUCUCUCAAUUGAUUUCGCUGUGGGUUUCAUCAUCUUAUCUUUUGUCUUUUUUUUUUGUCUCUCAUGCCAAUCCUUUUGGACAAUAGCUAUAUUUAUUUCACUCAAAACCAAACAAUAUCAUUCAUUCAAUGGCAUGUAGUAGCUGAAGAAGGAAGCUGAUAUGAUAUGUCAGAAUCAAGAAUUAAAGAAGGUGUCAUCUUGAUAUGUGUCCACUUUUAUUGGUAAGGAAUCAUUCAGCGCAUUGAUAAACAAUGUUCAAAAUGGUGCCCUACUUAUCCUCGUUACCACCACUAAACAGAACCAAGCCCAUUAAGCUAACAAGGCUGCCGUUAGUUCAAUGCAAAGGAUUCAGUUUUUGUUUUCCUUCUUGGUUGUAGACUUUUUUGAUGGUAUAUGAUUGAUUCAUUGAAAUGCUAACUGUUUACACAAAUCUAGCAAAACUCCACGUAAUAUACAGAGGAGUUACAAAGCAGAAUCUAGGUAUCAGUUUGGUGGUGGUGUGUAUUGACCAAAGAGGUGUUUCUCUUCAUGCAACUGUUUGAAAGACUUCUCCAUUUCCGGAAACGCAGAGAGUAGCAACAGCUCCAGAAGGUCAAAUGCCAAUUGCUUUAGACACACUGAUGACUGAAACAAACAAUAUUUAAACAAUCAAACCCCAUACUUGAAUAUGAGCUCUCAGAGCCAAAAUCAAGACCAAACUGGAGUAAUAUUUACCUGAAGGAAGAAGUAGAGGUCUUCCGCACAUUGUUUAUACUCGUUUUGACCCACAAGGCUCACUAUAGUCGCUGGGGCUUUUUCUGUACGCUCAGGGUUAUAUUCAAACAUUUUAUGUUAAUUCAAUAAAGCUUAGAUAUCAUUGAUUUCAAGAAGUAUCAGUUGGACAAGAAGAUCAUUACCAAUCAUUAAUUCAUGAACAAACUUGGCUCGUCUCUCUGCUUCUUGUUGCUGCUCCUCGUCAGAAGUACUGGAUUGUUGCUUCCUUUUUGGAUGUUUUGUCAUAAAUAUCCCAUCCGGCCAUAGUAUCUGAGAGGUCAUACCAGAUAUCUCUUUCAAAUCUCAAGUUGAAGUAAAAUACAACAAGGCGAGGGAUAUAAUAUGGGUGUCACUGUUAGGCAAUACUUUUUUUCCAUUGAUCACUGUGACUAUGCAAAAGGAAAAGGUUUUCUCACCUGUUCAACCCGCUGGAUUCCAGAAGCGACUACACUUCCCCGCCGCAAAAGACGAAUUUUCUCGAGUACCCAAUCGUCUAAUGCAUCGCCCAUCCCAAGUUGAAGUAUCUGUUUGGCAACCCAAAACGCUUUCCGCCUUGCAAAUGUACAAAAGUAGAUGAUCAAAACCACUUCAAUUUCUUGACUGAGAAAUAAAAAAAUAGUACGGCCCCUGGUUAUAAAAUGAUGUACCUGAUCCACCCACCCUCCUGGAGCUGUAAGACAACAUCUACCAAGUCUAGUAGGGGCAAUGUUAGCUUUGGAGGAACCCACUGCAAGAAAGACGGGUUAUAGCAAGCACGAUACAACUAUAGGCACUGGCCUCAUGGUUUCCCACAAUGCAAAAGGCAGAAUCAUCAGAAACAAAAAUGUCAGGCAUACGCUAGGUGUGGAUGUUAAAUAUAUACCUCUGUGGGCAGGCCGGGUAAGGCCAUUGCAUCAGCUUGAUUACCCACUUUAAGCCCGCCGUUCUCUUUGCUUUUUCUCACAUCUGCAUCAGACGUCUUCGUAUGAUCAUUUCCAGGAGCUUUCACUUUUGACUUCAGAUCAUCCACCAUAACGUUAUUCCUCACAUGUUGACCCGAUUUCCCAUUCUCUGAACUCAGGUUUUCUCUCGAAGGAAGAGGAGCUGGCGUCGCCUCGGUCAUAUUGGCUAUACUUGUAGAAACUGUAGAUGUCUUACGGGCAGGUUUAACUGAAACCAUUUACUAGUGACAAUAAAUAAUAGCAAACGGGUUAACGAAAUGUCCCAUUGUGUUGUGAAUUACCCACCCGCGAGCGUCUCAAUGAUAGAGAAAGAACUUGAGAAGGCGUAAGUCUGCACAGCAUCAACAUUUUACACAUUCAAAAUUUGUAAGCACUAGUGAUUUUGAGUCAAGAGGAAGAUAACCUACCUGGGAAUCCACACUGAGGAAAUCCCACACUUCAAUUGAUCCUGAAAUUCUUGGUAGUUGCAAAAGCUUCUGAGCAAAGUAGAGAAGGAUAAUUUGCAGAUUAAGAAAAACUGGGGAAAAAAUUUAUUCAAAGCUUUUCAUUCACAUGUUAGUUAACGUGGAAGAACACAAGGCAUGUGAAAAAGAACUAUGUACAAAGCUUCAAGCAUAAGAACUACCAGCACUAGUUACAGAGCAGUAGUCCAUAAUGAUGUUAUAUGCAUCUAACGAUUCAGCAUUAGCUUUUCAAAAAUCCCAAAGUAACUACCAGAACAUGAAAACACAAACCCUAAUUCACAGUCAACCUACUCUUAAAAACAGAAUUCAUUUAACAAACAAAACAAAUUCUUAUACAAAGCACCAGCACAGACUAGAAACAAGAGACAUGACAUUUGACCUUGAGAUAGGUAUCAAGCAGUACACAUCGCUCGUGUAUAACAGGUAUGUCCACGCCUGUUGAUAGGAAAUGCUUCGGCGGUAAAUAAAGAUUGUACUCGGGAAACACUUUAAGCCGCUGGUGAAGCUCUUCAAAAUGUCGAAAUCUGAAAGUUCACAUAAACAUUAAAAAAAUAUAAAUAAAGCACCAUCAUCAGAUCCGUAACAGUAAUAUUCUAUCACCUUCUUUUGAUAGACCAGCUAUGAUUACUAUCAUCUGUGACGGAAAUUGAAUACACGGCAAACAUCUUAGAACUACUCUUCACAAUAUUGGCACCCAUAACCUGCGAAAAGAACCUAAAUGCAUCCAUCAUACGAUCCAGCAUACAAAACAUCAUUGUCUGCAACUAGCUGUUUAACUGUACCUCACAUCUCAAUUUGGCAAAGGAAUCAACCAACAAAGAACUUCUAGGGGCACUGAGAAGGUCACUUUCUGGCAUUGAAUUGUAUGAUGCAGACGAUGUUGCAGAGAUUCCACUGUAUGAUCUCGCCAAAGAAUCAUGUUCAGAAUCAUCGCUAUCAUCAUCGCCUAGAAUGAGUCCAGAACGUUUGGAUCUCUUCCUGCUAGACUGAUGCCUGGAUGCUUUCUCAUAACGUUCAUGCCCUUUUCUGGUCUGUUUGAAACGACGACCAGAAUUUUCAAGUGGAUGGUGUAUCCGUGAAACACUAGGAUUUUUGUUCGUUCGACCAUCCCAGACUCGAGUCCCAGGACUGUUUAGACCUGUUACCGUUUCCUCGUCCUCAGAUGUAGAAGAAUGACUACUUUUUGUUUCCUCGUCCUCUUCAGCAGAGGAAUAACUUGAUAAGUGACUGUCUACUACCUUAGGCUGACUGGAUCCUCUUGCAUUCACAGUGUUUUCAUUGAAGUUUUUAGGCCGUGCAUUAUCACCAUCGUUGCACGAUUCCUUGAUAGAAAGUCUCGGGGGCACCCUCUCACCUUCCUUCUUUUUAUAAUUUCUUCCUUUUGCCCACACGCUUUCAAGAUGCUCUGGAGAAAGGGUCUCAGUUUUCCUUUGUGACAUCUUCUCUAAUACGUCACCCCAUCCCUCUCCUCCUCGAUGCCCUUGAAGAUAUUUACUAUCAUCAACUAUUUUGGAAGUUAAGGGGAGGGACUCCCACGAUUGGGAAGAUCGAGUGUCCAUUGAAAGCAAUGGAUCUUUGGCCAAAUCUGCUACAUGCUGUUUAUCUGUAGCAUUCUUCCUUUUUUGCUGUUCAUGUUUCAGUUGCACAAGCUCAACACCUGUGACAGAGGGAUCCAUAUAUCUCGAAAAAUGAUCAUGAGAAACUUCCGAGAGAUCUUCAGAUUGAGAAGUCUCUUUUGCAGCACUAGAUCCGCCAUUAGUCUUUGUCCUUGACAUCACAGCAGCUUCAAUCCUCUCAUUAAUGAACCUGAAAGAGAAUUUGAAAAUCACGGUGGUGAAUAUAAGAGGAACCAAAUGUGGUCCAAAAAGGUAAUAACUUACCGAGGAUUGGCUAAAUUUAAGACUGGUCGCAUCACACAGCAAGCAAGAAGCUCCCUCACGGUAUAAUGGAAAAAAGCACAGUGCAUAUCCUCAGGCCUAAAUGUAAGUGAAAUGAGUCUGUCCAUUAUAUGUUGCAAAACCUACAAAAAAAAAGGCAUACUAUAACCACCUGAUAGCGAUAAAGUGGUAAAACUCUACAUAACAGCUCGAAGCCACUUAAGACUGAAAAGAACCUUAUGCUCAGAUUCAGGGGAGAAUAAUGCAGGGUGCAAUUUAUCAUUUGUGGCCAUCACACGUCUAAGUUCUGAGUCUCUCUCUUCGAAGCUGAGACUUCUCCUUCGUUUUCUCUCAAUCUUUGCUUGACAUUCACGGAAAAGCUCCACAUGACGACAUAUAAUAUCAAUUAUAUCCCUGAAUCAACCAGACAGUUCAGUUCCUUGAAACCGCAAUCAUAAGAGAAACUCAAAGACACUAAAAAGAACAAACCUUGUAAACAGAUCAAUAAGAUUAACGUUCCUAAACCGCCGCGAAAGUUCUCCAAGAACAUGGUUAAUAAUAAACACCAGCUCCUCAGGACCUUGCUUAUCCGGAGUUAUCCGGGAGUACCAGAGAUCAAGCACCCAUUCCGAAACGAGGUGACGGGUGAAGCGAUCCAAUGCGUCCUCAACAACCUGUGAGUUCACUUUACUUCUCCAGUCAGACCGUGGAGCUGCUUUAGGAAGCUCUGGAGGUUUACUUAGAGACGGUCCACUCAGUGAAGACGGUUUGUUAUUGUAAGCUGCAGCCUUUCUUUUCAUUUCGACGUCAAAUGAGAAGUAACGAAGGAGGAUGAUCAAGCACGCAGCAGCAGGGAGGUUGACCCAAACCGAUGAACUCGUCACUGCAAAAACGUUUAAAAACAAUAAAAUCCUAAACCCUAAAAGCUCAUCAAGUUCUAAACACGUAAUCAAUUUCAUAGUGUUGAUCGAACUUACGAGAGAGGAGGUAUGAGAGUCCGACGACGCAUAUCACCAGUAUAACGAUUCGUUUCUUGGCUUCCUCUACCAGGUCACGAACUGUCACCGCCUGCUUCUGGCUGCUCAUAGCUGAAUCAAACCUCGUUUCCUUCUCUGUUCUCUCAGAUGAUUAGGGAAGGAAGUAAGGUCUCAUUCCUGAGCCGGGGAAAUUAGGAAACGAUUUUCGAAUACGGCCGGAUUGUAGAGAGAUGGGAUGAUUCUGAUUCGAUGACUGGAGAAACGAAGGCGAAGGAGCUGGAAUCGACGCCUAGGGGAUUAUAUAGUCGAGCAAUCGAUAGAAUCAGCGGUAAUGGAGUCUCUCUCUCAGUGACGACUUGGUGCGUUUCUACGGCGAAAGUUCCCGGGAAUGUGAGAUCUUUGAUUAUUCUCUCUCAAGAGAGAGUGUUGCGAUUAAUCAAAUGUUGCAAUUGGCAUUUGGCAACCAAGUCUAUAUGCUCUCGGUGAGCGUCGAACUCGGGUUCGCCCAAAACCCUUGGCUGUUUCGUUAAUUUGAGUGGACUUCGGUUAAAAUCGGUUCAGGUUUACCGGAUUUAACCGUCUUGACUAAAAGGCCGAAACUACGGUUUUUAAAGCCCAUAUAAAAUAUUUCGUCUCUUCAAAUAAUGUGUUAAAACGGCUUCGUUUCGAGUGAGCGUCUUUCCCGUCCGUGCAGCCUGCAGGUGUGACGAUGGGAGACACCGUCGAGGAGAAGACCGCCGUAAUCCAAGCUCCAUAAUCCAAAGAGGGACUAAGAAGGUAAGCAAUACCCACAAACUUUUUUACAAAGUGGGUCUCUUUACUCUCGCUAUUUUGUUAUUUAGGGGUAUGAAGCUAUAGCAUUGCCUGAGCCUGCACCAAGGCAAUUACCUAAGAAUGAGGAUCCUAGUCUAGUUAAGAGAAACAGAAGAAUGCUGGGGAAUCUUCUAGGGACUUUGGAGGUAUUUGUUUACAGAAUACAUGGACAUAUCUCUCUUGCUUAUGUUUUUUUAUAGCCACUCAUGGAUGAGCUUGUUUCAUUUCGUUACGUUCAUGUCCCUUCUGCAGAGGUUCAGAAAGGAAGAUAAACAGCUUUCUGGAACAGAUGCCUAUGCCCGACGGUCUGCUGUUCUACAGAAGGUAAGAACACACUUCAUGUUCACUUGGCGUGUUUAACUUAAAAUCAGUACAAGCUAUUGCUGUUUAUUGAGGGAAACAUCAUUUUAUGCUACUUGAGUAGCAUAAAUAUAUCUGGAUAUGAUUUAUCUUUUGGAAUUGAGUCUUCUUGAUAUUUAAUUUGAAGAUAUUAGUAAUGUUGCUAAGAUGUUAGCUUGUAAGGUAUCUUAAAUUACCUUACAAUUAGUAAGGUAAUUUAAAUUACCCGUGUCCUUCGUACUCGUAUAGGCUGAGCAAAAGGCUCGUGAAGAAAGUGAGCGACUAAGGAUGCAAGAGCGUGAAAAUAUGACUGAAAAGAGGAGAAGAGAUCUUGUAAGCAACCACCUACGAUUUAUUCUCUUUUACAUACUACUCCAAAGGGCAUUCAGGUGUACUACUAGUGUUCUGAUAUACAAUUUAACUGGUCAAUCAGACGCUUCGAGCCCGUGUUGCUGCUAAAGCAGAACAAAAGGAGUUGGAACUGCUAUUCCUUCGGUGGUGUGAGGAGAAGAAAAAACGAAGCAAUUUUAUAAGGUACUGUUGAGAUGCUGUUUUCAUUUCCAUAGUAACCUUACUUCCUCUGCAUGGUGAGUCUUGAUGAUGAGUUCCCUUUUUAUUAUAUCUGCAGGUUAUUUUUUAUUUCGGUCCAAAGUGUGCAUAUUCACAAUUUAAUAGAAGCAAAGAUAAGUUUCCCUUCACGUGUAUGCACAUGUUGAUGGGCCAGCGAUAGGUAGAAAUUGCUAGCUGAUAUUAUAUGUUUCUGUUAACAUUCUUUGCAUUUGAUUUCAUAUGGACGGCUGUUUCAGGACUAAAGCAGAGCAACUGACGCGGACCAACGCAAAGAACAGGUAAGAUGUAGUUUUGUGAAUGAAUGUUUUGACAUACAUGCUAUGUGAUACUGAUAUGUGAAUGGUGACGUAUGGCGCAGACAUUCUUAGAAUGGAAGGCAGCCAAGAGACAAGAAGUGAGUGAGUAUCAAAAGGAGGUAGAAGAGCGAUUUCUAAGUAAUGUCGAGAAAGAGCUGGAAAGGUGGCAAAACGCAAGGAAGGCGAGGAAAGCAAACAACGAGGCUAUGAAUUUGCAGGAGACAAUGGAUAAGGAGUUAGAGACGCAUAGGAUGGAGCACGGGCUAAAGAAAAGGAAGAUACCUGGAGCUGGAGGAGAAGAUGAAGAAGAUGAAGUAGAGGAUAUCAGUGGUGGGGAGGAUGAUAUAACAAUAGAUGAUUUACUGCAAGAGGGAGGAGAUGGAAACGUCAAGGAAGUGGCCACUGAUACUGCAGAAGCAGUGGAAGGCGACAUUACACUUUAAGUUGUCAAAGAUGUUAGUGUGUUUGUUCUUGAUGCUUGUGUUACUUAUAGUGCACCUUAUUAUGCGGGAGUUUACGAGUUAGAAAACGACUGAGAAAAUCUAUUUCAGAGGGGUGUUAGCUGGGGAAACUGGAAAAAUCUAUGCUGGAGUGUGUUAUUGAAUGAAGGAUUUUGCCUUGUGCUAUAAUUUUGUGCUACAAAUUAUUCAUUAUUACUGUAAAAAAUAAAGAGGCAGUAUUAUUGCAACAAUAGUACAAAUCUUCUACCACAAUUGUGUAACCGGAUGAACAUAUGGCCCAUGUAAUCUUUAGAUGCGUGGCUAGUUACGUUACCCUUACGCCAAAGCCAUACGCUUUCUCGCUUCAAGGGCCUAGGAGUUCAGACAAGGCAUCCAAAUAAAUAUUUAUUGUCCAUUUCACAAGAGAAACAAGUCAUGAAGAAGGGACAAUAAGAAAAGAAAACGAACCUGGUUUUCCCAGUUUGUGCAGCCAGUGACAAGUGCUAGCAGAAACGUUUGCAGAAGGGAACCAGUUUGUAUUCCAACCCAAAGACCAACACCUUUCAGAUUAACCCAAAAGGCUAACGUUGCUGCAAAGGGUAUCCCCCAGAGAUAGAAAGAUCCUAAAUUGAUGUAAGCUCCUAUAUGUUGCCAUCCACAUCCCCUUGCAAUACCUGCUAAUCAUUUUAAAAACUGUUAGGAAGUGGCAGAGAUGAGUAUAACUUUGAGAUGGCUUUAACAUGAGUAGACAUGAAGCACUUGGCAGUUUCACAUAUGUUGACAAUAAAUCUAUAUUUUGAGUAAAGAAAUAGGACCUGAGAGAACCCCUUGUAAGCUGUCUAGUAUGAUAGUGAUAGAGACCAAUGGAGCCAUCUUUGCAACAUAGUCGACGGUUGCCUUGUCACUGCUGAAAACAUACCCGAAAACAUUCCUUGCAAGUAAGAGAGACAAACUCACUACCACUGAUUCCAUUAGUGCAAAGGACGUUGCUGCGUAGACCACAAUAUGUGCUGCUCUAUAGUUUCCAGCACCUAGUUCAUUUGAGAUUCUUGUGCUGCACAAGAAAACAUCCACUUAUGAAACAUGAAACCACAUGACUUAAGUAUUGAUAAUGACUAAAGAUCUAACCUCGCUGCAGCGGCGAUUGCAAGCGGUAUUGAAUAGAUUGUCGAAAUUGUUUGGAGACUACACAUAGAUUGAAUAAACAUUAUGUUUUGGAAGAUUCAAGAAAAUGAAAUUUAGAUACAAUGGAGACUGGAGAGUUACCAGACAGAGAGGACAGAAGUCUCUAGUUCAGGGUUGGGUAAGAGACCAGAGAGUAAUAUCAUGAGUUCAUAUGACCACCACUCUAGGCUGCAACAACCCAUAAAAGAAGUAUUUUAAAAAAUGUGGAGGCAAUAGAGAAGUUGAAAGGCACAUAGAAAGAUGGAAGUACCAAACCAUAGCAGCAGAAGGAAGAGCAUAUCUAAAGAACUCUCCAACGCCGUUGAAUAUCUCCAUGGAGAGAGGCGCACGUGUCUCAGAACAGGCAGAGGAGAAGAACAUGAUAGAUCCGAGAAGAAUAGCAUAGAGCCAGUUCGACAAACCCAUAGCCAAGGCUCCUCCAAGAAAGCCAAGCCCUGACUUGUAAACCAAAAGCCAGCAUAGAGGAACAUGGAGACAGAACACACAAGAAGAGGUAAUGAGGAGAGGUCUGAUCAUGCUCUGGUUCUGGAAAUAGCGAGUGAGAGGCUGUAGAACGGCGUAGGAGAAGAGUCCAGGGAUGAGCCAUGCAGCAUAUCUACCGGCUUCGUGUGCGAUAGCGUGGUCUUGGCCAAGGAAGAUAAGAAGCUUCUCCAUGUUGAACCAGAUGAUAGAGAGAGGGAAACAGACUAGUGUAAGACAGAACAUAGCUGUGUAUGUCUGAACACUUAGUUUCUUGUAUAGCUUAGCUCCAUAAGCUUGACCGCUCAGAGUAUCCAAGGCACAUGACAACCCUAUCUAGCAUCACACAAAGAGAAAAAAAAAAGAGAGUAACGAUCAAAUGGUGAAGACAGGGCCGGUCCUGAGAUUCAAAUGGAUUAAGUAUUAUAUUUUUUAAUCAUUUUGGGACUAAUGAUAUAUAUAUAUAAACCAAUAAUAUUUUGGCCGCCAUAGACGAAUGUUUUAUCUGGCUAUUGCUAUGAUCAGGACCGCCCCCUUACGAGGAAAGGAGAAAACAUUACGAUGAAGCUGAAGCCAGUAACGUUGCAGAAGGAAGAAGCUAAGGAGGCGCUAGCGAGAGCGAGGUUACCAAGGUGACCAACCAUCACCAUUGAGAUGAUCUGUAACGUGAACUGAGCUAUGACCACAGCCGCCAUAGGAGCGGCGAAGAAGAUGAUCCGCUUUAGCUCUUCGGUGUAUGAUCCCUCUCGCUGAUCUCUCCAUGUCUCUUUCUCGACUCUGUCUACCGGAAGCAGCAAACUAUCAUUGAUGCUGUUCUCCAUGGCGACUGCCAACAAGCUAGCCGGAGAGAGAUGGAGAUUUGUGUUAGAAUGUUAUAAAGACUUGGCUGCAUGUCUCGGUCCAACUAAUGUUUUGCGACUCCAAUAAAUUAGCAAUUUAAGUUGCGACUAGAUCCCAACGACUUUUCCUUGUUCAAUCGUUUUUCCUCAACUACAAUUAAUUAUGUAUUGUCAUCGUCGUAUGUAAUGUAUUGAAUUUAAUUGUCAGAUGUGUCGUUUUGCGGGGAUUCAGAAUUUAUUUUUUCAUUCUAUGUUGAAAUGAAUGUCACAUUUCUAUUACUAGUUAAUGAUCAUCAAAUCAUUCAUUCAUACAUGUUUUUGCGUUUAUUGUAAUGUUUUGUUGUGACUUCAAACUCGUGUUUCUCAUAGUCAGCAACGCUGUUUUGACCUUUCCCAUUACUUUUCAGUUUUCACACUCUUUUUCCGUACUAAUUUCUUCUUUUCCCAAUCACUGUAGUGUUAUUAUGAAGCUGGUAAAUUUUUAUUGGAAUCUUUUUCCACUGCCGGCUAAAAAAAGUUGCUACAAUUCAAAGUUGUUGAUUAUAUUGUCACUUCUCUUUAUGGUAGUAAACCUUUUAGUAUUAUUAAUACACAAGUAGCUGGGUAAGAAGAUAGAUAGUAUCAUAGUAAACGACAUCUUGGUCGUCUACGUGGCUGGGUAAAAAGAUAGUAAACGACAUCUUGAGCGUCCACGUACAAAACAGAGGACCAAGUGCAGAUUUAAAACAUGUCGAUCACUUCUUUCACCCAUGCGCAAUUUAGCCACCGCCUCUCAGGCCUGGGCUUUUUACACACACUCUCCUACCACAGCUAAAGUAGAGUCUUUUACUUCAAGUUUGAUCGCUCCUCUUCUUAGCUGUAUUCAGUGAUCCAAGUAUGGUCUAGAAGGUUUCAGUGCAGAUUACAAUCCAUAUCCAACGCUUUCAAAGUUAGUGUCUUUCUUGCAUUUGGUUUGGACGUUGGUUACUGCUUUUGCAAGGUCUAAACUAGUUUCAGAUCCUGCUGCCACGGGAGUGGUGCUGUGCGGACAAAGACAAAUGGCCGAGGUAUGCACUGGGAGCUUAUAUGUUUACGUGAAAAGAUGAUUUGUAACUUUAUCAUUUGUUUGAUAUGGUGUUGGAGGAGGUAACAUCAACGCUUGUAGCGGAUGGAGUCUCAAGUGACAAGAUGCUCAAAAACCUUUUGACACAUAGUUCUUUGUAAUAUCAUAGUUCAUACCGUUAGUGGUUCCUUAUCAGUAUUCUUUGCUACCAAAGUCUUUGGAGUCCCUUCUAAUCCAUUAAACACAUAGCCUAGUAGCCUAGUUUUUUUUUGUAGUCCCCUUAAAGAUUAACAAUAAUGUGUUGUUUGUUGGUCACCACUACAUUCUUGAUGAUUGACUCUGCUUAGAACAUCUCCAACCCCACUCUAUUUUUCACUCUAUAAUAGAGUAAAAAAUAGGUUUACUCCAAAUAUAAAGUAAUUUAUUUAUUUUUGUUCAUCACUCUAUUUUCUACUCUAGAAUAGAGUACCAUUGGAGCAAACUCAAACUCUAUUAUAGAGUUACUCUAUUUUAGAGUAAAAAAUAGAGUAAGCCAUUGGAAAUGGUCUAACGACUCCAAAUUUUUAAAGUUACUGGACCUAGUUCCUACAUAUACCAACAACAAAAUGUAUAUGCGGAAAUUAUAGAGAGGUUUAUAAAUAUUUUAGCUUAUAAAUCGUAUGAACAACAAAUUUAUCCAAAUAAUUUGGUGAUUUUUAAUGAGUUUCCAAAGAAAAAUUAGUGAAGAUCAAGUCAUUAAGCAAAAAAAAAAAUCGAAAAAAAAAAAAAGAUCAAGUCACUGACUAAGAGAGUUAGACUGCGUGCCGUUUCCAUAAAAAAGAACAGAACUUAAUGCCGUCUCCUGCACGAUCUUUUUCCUUCUUUGGCACGCCGUCUCCUACACGAUCAAAUCCUUAAUCAAUAAGGAUCAAAGAAACCAAAACUUGACGAGAAAAAAAAAAAAAAAAAAACAGAAAGAGCGAUCAAAGUGGAUUCCUCAAUCCGCCAUGGCUUCCUCGGCUCUCUCUAACCUAAUGCUCGCCAUCCACGAGAAGAAAACUUCCUCACUCGAUCUCUACCGCCCCCUCCGCAACUACGUCACCUUCACCUACUCCGAGCGCGAAGCUCAGCUCAUAGAAGACGAUCUCGAAACCCUCAAGCAACUCCGCUCCGACGUGGAACGUGUCCCCGAUCCAUCCCCCUCCGCACGGCGCGACCUUCUCAUCUCCUACUACAAGGCCCUCUGCCUCGUGGAGACGCGGUUCCCGAUCUCCCCCGAUCAGCACCACGUCAACGCCGUCUCGUUCCUGUGGUACGACGCCUUCAAGCAGAAGCAGAAGGCCUCGCAGCAGAACAUUCAUCUGGAGAAAGCGGCUGUGCUAUUCAACCUCGGCGCUAGUUACAGUCAGAUUGCGCUGGGGUGUGAUCGGACUACGGUGGAGGGGCGGCGUCAGGCUUCGCAUGCGUUUAUCGGUGCGGCGGGGGCGUUCGCGUGGGUGAGGGAUAAUGAGUCUGUUAAGGCGAUGAUUGGGCAGAGUAGCACUACGGUGGAUGUGAGGGUGGAGUGCGUGGGGAUGUUGGAGCGGUUGAUGGUGGCGCAGGCUCAGGAAUGCGUGUUUGAGAAUACUAUUGCUAAAGGGAGUACUCCUGGUGUUUCCGCUAAGAUUGCUAGUCAGGUUAGUGUAGGCAUGCUUGGUUAGUUCGGGUUAUUCGGUUCGGUUUAGUUCGGUUCAACAUAAGUUUUUACCGAAUCGAAAGUUCGGUUCGGUAUUCAGUUACAAUAGUUGAGAAUCCUACCGAAGUUUUUGAUUUUGGUUAAAUUUUGUUAAAGUUUCGGAUAACUUCGGCUAAAUUGGUUAAUUUAUUUAGUCCGGUUCGGGUUUUUUGUAUGGUUUGAUAUUAUUAUUUUUUUAAUAAGAAAACCAAAUUAAUCGAUUGCCGAACAGAAAACCUACCGAAUCGAACCGAGUUUUUGGUUAGAAGUUCGGUUCAAAAUCCGAGGCCUUGUUGGUGGUGUGAUAGUGUAGAUUGAAUUUGCAUUUUCUUGUUUGCUUGUGUUCAGGCUGGCAUAUACUACGAGGAAGCUUUGGCUGCUUUAAUCGUUUCACCAUUGAAGGAUCAUUUUGAGAAAGGCUGGAUAUCUCAUGUGCAGAUGAAAGCAGCAUUGUUCUACAGUGAAGCUUGUUAUAGAUAUGGAAUGGAGUUGCACGAGAAAGAGGAGAUUGCGGAAGAGAUAGCUCGGCUGAAGAGCGGAGCUAGCCGUUUGGCAGAAGCUAAGAAGUCUUCAAGGGGAGCUCCUGCGCAGCUUGUAGAAGCGAUGAACAAAUUAGUGGCGAACAUUAAUUGCAAUUUGGAUAGAGCUGUGAAGGAAAAUGAUAGAGUGUACCUUAUGAGAGUUCCUUCUCCUGCUUCUUUGUCUCCGCUUCCUACCUUCUCAAUGGUUAAGCCGAUGAACAUGACUGAGAUAUUGGAUGCAAGCAAGGAGAAGAUGUUUGCCAUCCUUGUUCCGGACAACAGUGCAAAGGCUCUCUCUAGAUACACUGAGAUGGUUGAUGAUGUAAUUAGGACUCAGGCGGAGAGAUUACAGCAAGCAAGUGAACUAACUCGAGUUAGGCUCAAAGAGAUGGACCUUCCAGAUUCUAUUCUUGCUGUCGAUGGUAAUUCGACUCUCCCUACUGAUCUUAAAGACGAUGUAGAGGCUGUUCAGAUCAGUGGCGGUCCAGCUGGCUUGGAAGGUGAACUUCAGCAGCUUAGAGAUUUGAAGAGGGUUAAUCAGGAACUGUUGGUGCAAACCGAAGAGCUUUUGCAGAAAGAAGCAACUGAAGACGCUCAGUUCAGAAGCCAAUUUGGGACACGGUGGACUAGGCCUCAGUCUUCCACACUGACAAAGAACUUGCAGGAUAGAUUAAAUCGGUUUGCAGCCAAUUUGAAACAAGCUGGAGAAAGUGAUGUGAAGAUUGAGCGAUCGGUGAGAGAGAACUCUGCCCUCAUGUCCAUUCUUGAUCGACGGCCGGUAUGCAUUUCCAAUUUUUUGUACAAGCUAGUUUAUUUCUCUUGUUGAGGCUCAAAAUGCUGCCAGAAGUUGUCUCUUAGUGUCUCUCGGUGUUAUUCAAACCACGCACUUGGGUCCGGUAUAGCCCACUCAAAUGUGAUUCUUAAAUGUUGUGGUUUUCUAUUUUGAUCAUCAGAUAGAAGCUGCCGUCCCAACUCUAGCUAAGCCAAUGAUGUCGCUGGAUGCAACAGAGGAUGCUAUAGUGGGAAAUCUGAAGCAGAGUCUGGUAUUCCCUAUUUCUUUUGGAAGCUGUAUAUACUUUCACGAAUCAGUAUUUUAACAAUUUUGUUUCCUUUUGCACAGAGGCAACUGGAAAAUUUAGGUGCUCAGCGAGCUGGUCUUGAAGACAUGCUCAAAGAGAUGAAGAGAAAAGUGAACAUUUUAAUAGAUUUUUCAUCAUUUUCUUUCUUGGUUAUUUUUUGAUACUGGAGUCAAAGACUUAUUAGGCUUUUACAUGAUACUUUGUUUUAGGAUGACAUACUGCCAAAGCUGAUGACGUCAACCGGCUCCUAUGAAGAUAUGUUCAGGAAAGAGAUGUCAAAGUACGAUCACAUCUGUCAAGAUAUUUCCCAAAAUAUUGAAGUUCAAGAACAAUUAUUAAUGCAAAUUCAGGUACCUCUUUUGUCCAUUCUUCUAGCAGCACUUCACUUUUCACUAUGGUUUUGGUCCUUUUUGUGAUAACCAAAGAACGUAUGGUGAUGGCAUUCACUGUAGAAGAAUAUUUAGUGUGCUAGCUUUUACUGAGACUGAAAUGGUCUUGUUUUACUGUUAGGAGAAACUGACUACUCAUAAUGGGUUUCUUUCCUUGGUUAUAGGCUCAAAAUGAAGAGUUCUCAACUCUUUUCAAUCUUGAAGAUUAUAAAGGUGAGCAAACAGCUUCUAUCUUGCAUGAACUCUAUAAAUGUUCUAAUAAGUAUGUGAUGAUACAAAGUAGUUUGUGAUUUAACAUUCUACAUGUUGGCUGAUGUGCCAUCCAGGCAUCCAUGAUAAAAACGGUUUACAUUCUGUAUGUCAGUUAUUUUGCUCCCACGUAAUUGUUUUAUGUGAUUCCUUGUUCUUCAGCAUCCAGAGAGAAUUGCUACAAGCAGAUUCAAGCGGCUAUAUCCAAGUACCGAGAGAUCAAGGAGAACGUCAAUGAGGGCUUGAAGUUCUAUGUCACUCUUCAAGUGAGUUUCUUUUCUUUAUAUAGUUGCAAGCUCUUCACUGUCAAAGCGUCUACAUUAUGUCACUUGUCUUGGAUGCUCUUAAAAUUUGAUUGUUACACUCCAUUGAAGAUGCAAAAUAGCUUUCCUGCAAUCUGAGACACAGUCUUUGUUGGCUUAACAGGAUGCAAUCACGAAUGUGAAGCAGCAGUGCAGUGAUUUUGUGAUGACAAGGAGCAUCCAGUGCCGAGAAAUGAUUGAAGAUGUGCAACGACAGAUGUCUGGUCUGAGUUUUCAGGAUCAUAGAAGCUCCGGUCCAUACCCAUCUGUGCAUCAGCGAACGGCUUCAACUUCGCCGCCCCCACCAGAAACUCAGAACUCAUCUCAUCCUCACCCACACCCACACCCACACCCACACCCACAAGCACCUUUCUAUAUGCCGGCAGAGCAACAACCACGACCUGGCUACACUAUCCCACCCUAUGGUCCACCUCCACCAUACCACACACCUCAUAGCCAGGCGCCGCCACAACCAUACCCUCCCCAGGCCCCGCAACAGCCUUAUCCAUCGUGGCAACAAGGCCCGUACUAUGAUCCUCAGGGACAGCAGCCUCGGCCUCCUUAUACUGCUCAUAACCCGUACCCGCCUCCUCACCAAGGCGGUGGAUACUACAGGCAGUGAACUGUACCUUGGGAGCAAUAAACUUGAUGUUAUUGUUCUCAGUGGUGGGUUUCAUGUGAGUACGUGAUGGCUAUCUACUUCUAUAUGUUUUUAGUGAAAUUGAAUUUUGCUUGAAAGUGACCCAUUCUUUGAGUUCUCAAUACAAAGUAAAGACGAUAUGAUGGAAGGAAGUCAUGUAAAUCACAUUUAUACAUUACAUAAUUCAUAUAUUUAUUUUUUAUAUUGGUUGAAGCUGGUAGAUGAGUUUAUUGAAACUCGAAGCCUAAUAAUUUGAUUUGUUGAAAGAGAGGCAAAUUCUUCAAGUUAUUAGGCAUGAUGAGAGCACAAUAACAAUGUCUGCGGUAUAGAAACAAAACAGAGGAGCAGAGAGCCAUUUGGCACAUUGAGGUUUGCAGUUACGAAAAAAAGAUUCAAACAUUCACUGCGUUUUAUACAUCCUUUCAAUUUCAAACCACAUGAAGCAGAAUCAAGACAGUUUCGUCUCCACCUUGGCUUUUUAAUCAUUUUAGUUUUGCAAACAGCUUUGGUGCAACCUGAAGAUCCAAAAUCACAGUUUUCAUCUCAGUAUACAUAAAGUAGAACAAGAAGAUGUGAAGAGCAAAGCAAAUACUUACACAUUUGUCAAUGCAAUGCCAGUAGUCGAAGUACUGGCCAGUGCAAUGCUUGUGGCCAGAGUCAUCGCCUUGGAUUCUCUUCACACACGCCUAGCAACCACAGAAAAAGAAAAGACUUAUAUAUCAGCAAACAACGAUCUUCACACACACAUGGAACUAUGUCAAACUUAAUACAUGAUUCACAAACAAACAGUUUCCUGGCAAGUUUACCUGAUAUUCGAGUAGCGGCUUCACACAUUUUGGUUUGCAAGAUUCCUCAAGGUACUUCUUUGGAUCAACAACUUCAUCCUCUGCCCUAAAAUUAUCAAAAACGAAAGAUAAAAAAAAAAACAAAUCACAUCAUCUUCAUAAUUAAACCCGUGUGAUAAUAGCACACAAGAAUCUUCUUUUCGAUUUGAGACAUCACACUUUGACAGAAGGUCAUACUCAAAAGCUCUAGUCAUAAGAUGCAAAAAUCAUAAGAGCAGUGUGGCAUAAGAUAUACUACGCAACAUCUCAAUCAGCAAGCUAACAUUACAGACUAGAGAUUCAGAGACAUACAGGAGAUCGUCUAUCUACUCAACAUGAUGUAGAGAUUGGUAAAAAUAUGUAUAUAAAAGAACGGCAUCGAGUUUAAGGUAUGAGCUUACAUGUCUGAAAGUCAAAAUCGGAAGCUGUAACCUGCAAGACAGAGAUGAGAAUGAAUGUCAGAAUAUAGAACCGAUUCGUUUGCGAUGGAUCGAUGUCAUCAAAAUGAAAUAAGAUCUGAUUGAAUUAGAAAAGGGAUUAGCGACGAAACCUGGUCGGGAGGAAGAGCAGAUCGAGACACGAAGGAGGAACCCUACAGAACUUUGUUGUUUGUUGAAGUCAGUCUUCGCUAGAUUCAUUUCAUUACGUUUCCGACAUGUUUGUGGGCCUCAGGUUUUGAAACUAAAGGCCCAUUAAAACUCGAUAAGCAUAAAGCCCAUUACAGAUUCGAAAAGGAGCAGAAUCUCCCAAGAUUCCCUAGAACGGACGCUAUGUUUUUUCUAAAAAGAUUCUUCUGACAGCAUCUUUUUGGCUUUAAGGAAGUUGUAAUAAAAUAAGAAUAUGAUGUUGGAAAACUGAUGAAACAUGGUCAAUAUUGUGUCUAAAGCACAUGUGAUGUUGGACGGCAGUCGGCACGUCACACGAUCUAAUAUUUAUCCACCAAUAUAUCUCUUUUUUUCCAUUUUCUUAACAAAAUUUAAUUAAAAUGUUGAUUGAAUGAUAUGAUAAUACAGAAUAAUAGGGAGGUAAGAGACUUGAUUGCAUUUAUCUCAGACAGUCUGACACUGUUGGUAAUAUAUUAAUGUCGUUGAAUCAUGUUUGUGUUUGAUAUAUACGUAUGUACAAUUUUGAAUAGCAUAUUAAAACUGUACUUCUAGUUAUUGAGUUGAUGGCAGCACAUACCUUCAAUGAUAAUAGCAUUUAAUAUAUUGUUGUAAAUGCAUUGUAAAAGAUGACAGCAAAACAGGAAAAAAAUAUCUCAAAAAGCAGAAGAAGUGUGAGUAGGGUAACCAAAUCAACAGUAAUGAUGUUAAUGUCGUUAACAUGUUUACCAUUCAAAGUUUCUAAACCAACAUCUUAGUCAGUUUUGAGUGGGCAGAAGAGAACAAAGAUAAUGAAAGCAAUUUAAAAGAAUUGAUAAGAAGCUCUGUAAUGUAAAAUAUCACACAACUAAUCCCUAAAAGAAAAAAAUUGCAUUUACAUUGUUUCUUUCUUCUCCCUAUUUACAAAUAACCAAAACCCCUACAAUGGCAUUUAUCUGUCUCACCUCUCCCCUCUGCUGCAACAAUGAUGAUGAGCUUAGCGUCUCUUUCUCUCUAAGGUCCUCUGUAUCUUCCAUGUCCAACCCAGCAAAAAGGCCACAAGUCCAAGUCCCACACUUCCCCAAAGUGUCACUACCCACAAUGGCAUCUCUGUUGGGUACAAUCCUGUUUUUGCAUUCACCAAAACAACCAAGUUAACACUCUCCACACUAACCAUAAUAAGUAAAUAAACAGCAACUUACCAGUUCCAAACUUGAUGCAGAUGAGAAGUUCUACUAUGCAUAUCCCUGUUGAUAGCCAACAGAAUGAUCCCACCUUUUUUACAGGUUUCCUGUCAACAACCAAAACAACCUAUCAAACCUUAUGUUAACUAAACGCAAUCAUAGUGGCUAGCAGCUUAUACCGGUCUUGGAGAUAUGAAUUGUAUUCCCGUAUAGUUGGAAUCGCUAUGAGCCACCACAAGAUCAGCCUAUAGAGAAUCACUGGGUUUCGAGGAGGGAUCCAGAGGCUGAACUUGAGAAAGAAUGUGUUCAGCUCCACUGUUAAGAAGAUGAUGCAAAGAGUGAGUACUUGAAUAAAACGCCAAGGUCCCUGCAGAGGGUGCCACUCGUCUUUGUCCCAGUGAGCUGGUGUGAACUGCCCCAGUGUCCUUUUCACCUUGCCAAUAAUGUUAGGCUGGCGACUAAUGCCAACCCACUCGUAUGUUUUUCCAUCAAAGUAGCGUACUGUAUGCAUCCCUGCCCAGAUACCUACCAUCAUUAUAAAACAUUACUCAGCUCUCUACAUAAGCAUGACAUAUAGAAGGUCAAGGUGGCUUAAGGAUCAUACCAAACCAGUUGCAUAUCAAGAUAUCAAGAACAAUACUGUCCCACCAGCACUCGUUGAAAUUUGGUAACAUGUGCCGAAAAGUAAGCUGUAGAAACAUAAAUAUACAGGGGAAGCUUAUCAUUACAUUUAUCAAUUUGAGACCUGUAAGCACAUAAGGGAACAAAGACCAACCUCCAAUAACUCAAAACCAAUUGAAAGCACCCACAGAAGAGGCUGGUUCCGGAUAAGAAUUGCUUUCCCCCACCAUCCAAAGAUAUGGGCUAAGAAAAACUCGUCAAACACUGUGUCCUGUGAAAAUUGAUAACCAAAUCAUAAGCCUUUAGAUGAAUAUGAAAGUUAUUAUACCAACUCAAGAUGAGAAGCAGAUGCUAAGUCAAAAAAUAAAGAGGGGGAGUUGUGGAGAGAAGAUACCAUACAUAAAGAUUUUUAAACCUGUUUGUUGGGUGAUCAGGCACAUAAAUACGGCAAUCAGCACCGUAUGAUCUCUCAGGAAGUUCUGCAAACAUGACCAAACUCUAAUAAGAACGGUCACUCAUGUAAAGUAAACCACUCUGAAAAUAUUACCUAUUCCAAGGUCAGGGUGGAGAAACUUCAUGAACUGCCUAGCAUCAUCACGUCUCUGGAAGGAAGAAAAGAAAGUAACUAUUAGAGUUUGCUCACUAAAAUCAAGAACACAGAAGAGCUACUAUGAUCACUGGCAUAGAGAGAGGAGAAAAGUGAACCUGGAAGAGCAAAAAAGUAAGUGAAACUAAGUAAAUGACGGCUAAUCCAUGAACUAAGCGCCAGAUAGCAGGAUGUGGCCUGAUUAAAACCCUGCAUAACAGCAACCAACUUGGUUAAAGACAGAGGCAGCACAAGAGGAAGCAAGAGAAAGUAGAUGAGGUGAUUACGUUGAAGGAGCCUGGAGCAAAGAGUAAGCAAGAAAGACAGCAAUCAUAGCCCACACUCCCCUAGAAACAUAGUAUAGAGUAAGUAAUAAUAGAUUCAAAUGAAAAUAAAUAAAAAAGCAUAGAAAAAGAGAACCUUUUAACAGAUGUGACAAUAUCUUCAGAAGUAGUGCUUUCAGGAUCAAGAGCUCCACUUGCCCAACUAACUCAAUUCAAAAAAAAUAACAAACAUGAGGAUUGUGUGUGACACAGAGAGGAGAAGAAAAGCAAAGGAGGGAGAGAGGGAGUCACAUGAGAAGGCAAGCGCCAAUAAGGAGAAGGGAGAUAGUGCGAGGCUUGUAAGCCCAUGCAGUCCAUGGAUCAAGCUCACUUUCAGCAACAUCACCACCACCACCAUUCAUUCUCUUUGUUUCUUCUUUCAUGUAGCCAUUGGGUUCCAUGGGUAAAAUCAAACCACCUUGUGAGAAAAGUACAUAGAGAAGAGAUGAGAAGAGAAAAGGCAGAGAGGAGGGUAGUACAAGGUACAACAAGCAGAGAGAUAUAAAAAAGGCUCUGACUUUGCAGUGGUAAAGGGCAGGCACUCAUCAAUCAUAUGAUUCAAGUAACACAAAAACAAAUAAAAAGAGAUUGGGAGGAUACCUGAAGAAGAUAUGCUUUCUUCUCUGUUCUGUUUUGAGCUUCACGAUCUGAAAAAGACUCUGCCUUUCUCUAUCUCCGACGAUUUCCCCUUUUUUUAAUUUGCCCUGAAUCACCACCUUCUCCGUCCUUCCUUCCUUCUUCUUCAAUUUUAAUAUUCUCUGUUGUUUUGUCUUUACGAUAUUCAAUAUUAUCACCAGGAGGUAAUAAUAAUAACACUCUUCAAACGGUUUUAACAUCAUGUCGCAUUUCUUCGGUCUUAUUCGCAUUUAAUUCUUUUUUUCUUACCAAUAUAACUAAUACUCUCCAUCCGUUUUACAUUUUAUUUCACCAAAUUAAUAUUUUAGAUUUUUAUUAUAAAUUUAUAAAUAAUAUUUUAGUUUUAGUUUCAUUACUUUAAUAUAUUAAAUGGAAAAAAAUUAUGAAUUUAUUGAUAAUGGACCAAAAAUAGUUUUUGUGUACUGAAAUGUGUCAAAGAGACAGAGAGAGACUUCAUUCAGUACGCCAAACCCACAUCAUAAAUAUUAAUUUUUAGUAUAUAAAUAACGAAAUGCAGCAGGAUCAAUUAAAUAACAUUAUGAUCUAGAAAGAAAAACGCCAAAAAUUCUCGUUGUCAUCCACAUAAAACAUACGCCACAAUUUAUGGUUUUGGAAUGAUAAAAAUGCAAUAACUCUCAAGUGAUUGUUUCACUGCAACCAAAAUACACUUAAACACACACACAUCAUUUGCGAAAUAUAUUAAUAUUCUUAUUUAGGUAAUUGAUUUGACAGCUAUCCCCAAAAGUACAAAGGAGAAUAACAACCCUCAUUAGUAUAUAUAGUCAUUUCUUUUUAUUCAAUGACAAAGAAUGAAAUUAAAAGGUCGGAAAGGGUAGUCAUAGUGUGAAAUGAAGUUUAAGAGAGAAUUAAACAAGUCCAGUUGAUAAAGACAUGUCUAUGCGCUUAAAUUCAUCACCACUACUCUUGCCAUACAUCCUUUCAUGAACGUACAAAUAUUGUAGACAAGGGAACUAAUUCAUCUGCCUCUUCAUUAAGAUGAUUACCUACGUACUGAGAACAAUAUUUUUCUUAAAGCACCAAGGAAAACCUUGAAAAUUUAAAUGUGAAUAGAAACAAUGAUAAACAGCUCAUUCCUAUAAAAAGACCAUGCAGAUGGAGACACCACUUGUGGUCACUUCCCACGACAUUACCCAUCUUUUCUUUUUUUUUAAAACUUUUCAUUAGUAAAUAAUAACUAAACUAGUCCUUGACCCGCGCGGCCGCGCAGGUAUUUAAUUUUACAUUUUGAUUUGUAUUUGUAUUUAAUAUUAUAUUUGUAAAUUGUAAUCAUAUUACAUCAAGUAAUUUUAUAUUAAAACAUUUUUGCGUAAAAUGUAAUUCAGAUAUUUGGUCUUUGACAUGUAUGUCCCGCAUGGGUAUUUACUUCGUUUUUAUGGGUCAAAUAUAAGAUUAGUUCUCUUUUAAAAUAUUUUUCAUAUGGUGUUGGUUAACACAUAUUGAUUGUCGAUAGACAUUCAAGCAAGUAAAAUAAUAUCGUAUGUAACUCAUUUUUAUUUGAUGGUAUUUUAGUUGUUUCGAAUAAUUAGUUUAAUUUUAUAUAUGUCUACCUUUUAUUUUACAAUAAUUAUUUUAAAUAAAAAUUUAACUUCUGAUAUUAUCCCCAAUAUAUUAAUUCUGGAGCAUUAAACAUUUUUUGUAGUCACGUGACACCAUGAGAAUAAUUUUUUGAAUUCUUAGAGAAAUAAACUUGGUUAAAGACAGAGGCAGCACAAGAGCAAGCAAGAGAAAGUAGAUGAGGUGAUUACGUUGAAGGAGCCUGGAGCAAAGAGUAAGCAAGAAAGACAGCAAUCAUAGCCCACACUCCCCUAGAAACAUAGUAUAGAGUAAGUAAUAAUAGAUUCAAAUGAAAAUAAAUAAAAAAGCAUAGAAAAAGAGAACCUUUUAACAGAUGUGACAAUAUCUUCAGAAGUAGUGCUUUCAGGAUCAAGAGCUCCACUUGCCCAACUAACUCAAUUCAAAAAACAAAAAAAAAUAACAAACAUGAGGAUUGUGUGUGACACAGAGAGGAGAAGAAAAGCAAAGGAGGGAGAGAGGGAGUCACAUGAGAAGGCAAGCGCCAAUAAGGAGAAGGGAGAUAGUGCGAGGCUUGUAAGCCCAUGCAGUCCAUGGAUCAAGCUCACUUUCAGCAACAUCACCACCACCACCAUUCAUUCUCUUUGUUUCUUCUUUCAUGUAGCCAUUGGGUUCCAUGGGUAAAAUCAAACCACCUUGUGAGAAAAGUACAUAGAGAAGAGAUGAGAAGAGAAAAGGCAGAGAGGAGGGUAGUACAAGGUACAACAAGCAGAGAGAUAUAAAAAAGGCUCUGACUUUGCAGUGGUAAAGGGCAGGCACUCAUCAAUCAUAUGAUUCAAGUAACACAAAAACAAAUAAAAAGAGAUUGGGAGGAUACCUGAAGAAGAUAUGCUUUCUUCUCUGUUCUGUUUUGAGCUUCACGAUCUGAAAAAGACUCUGCCUUUCUCUAUCUCCGACGAUUUCCCCUUUUUUUAAUUUGCCCUGAAUCACCACCUUCUCCGUCCUUCCUUCCUUCUUCUUCAAUUUUAAUAUUCUCUGUUGUUUUGUCUUUACGAUAUUCAAUAUUAUCACCAGGAGGUAAUAAUAAUAACACUCUUCAAACGGUUUUAACAUCAUGUCGCAUUUCUUCGGUCUUAUUCGCAUUUAAUUCUUUUUUUCUUACCAAUAUAACUAAUACUCUCCAUCCGUUUUACAUUUUAUUUCACCAAAUUAAUAUUUUAGAUUUUUAUUAUAAAUUUAUAAAUAAUAUUUUAGUUUUAGUUUCAUUACUUUAAUAUAUUAAAUGGAAAAAAAUUAUGAAUUUAUUGAUAAUGGACCAAAAAAUAGUUUUUGUGUACUGAAAUGUGUCAAAGAGACAGAGAGAGACUUCAUUCAGUACGCCAAACCCACAUCAUAAAUAUUAAUUUUUAGUAUAUAAAUAACGAAAUGCAGCAGGAUCAAUUAAAUAACAUUAUGAUCUAGAAAGAAAAACGCCAAAAAUUCUCGUUGUCAUCCACAUAAAACAUACGCCACAAUUUAUGGUUUUGGAAUGAUAAAAAUGCAAUAACUCUCAAGUGAUUGUUUCACUGCAACCAAAAUACACUUAAACACACACACAUCAUUUGCGAAAUAUAUUAAUAUUCUUAUUUAGGUAAUUGAUUUGACAGCUAUCCCCAAAAGUACAAAGGAGAAUAACAACCCUCAUUAGUAUAUAUAGUCAUUUCUUUUUAUUCAAUGACAAAGAAUGAAAUUAAAAGGUCGGAAAGGGUAGUCAUAGUGUGAAAUGAAGUUUAAGAGAGAAUUAAACAAGUCCAGUUGAUAAAGACAUGUCUAUGCGCUUAAAUUCAUCACCACUACUCUUGCCAUACAUCCUUUCAUGAACGUACAAAUGUAGACAAGGGAACUAAUUCAUCUGCCUCUUCAUUAAGAUGAUUACCUACGUACUGAGAACAAUAUUUUUCUUAAAGCACCAAGGAAAACCUUGAAAAUUUAAAUGUGAAUAGAAACAAUGAUAAACAGCUCAUUCCUAUAAAAAGACCAUGCAGAUGGAGACACCACUUGUGGUCACUUCCCACGACAUUACCCAUCUUUUCUUUUUUUAAAAAACUUUUCAUUAGUAAUAAUAACUAAACUAGUCCUUGACCCGCGCGGCCGCGCAGGUAUUUAAUUUUACAUUUUGAUUUGUAUUUGUAUUUAAUAUUAUAUUUGUAAAUUGUAAUCAUAUUACAUCAAGUAAUUUUAUAUUAAAACAUUUUUGCGUAAAAUGUAAUUCAGAUAUUUGGUCUUUGACAUGUAUGUCCCGCAUGGGUAUUUACUUCGUUUUUAUGGGUCAAAUAUAAGAUUAGUUCUCUUUUAAAAUAUUUUUCAUAUGGUGUUGGUUAACACAUAUUGAUUGUCGAUAGACAUUCAAGCAAGUAAAAUAAUAUCGUAUGUAACUCAUUUUUAUUUGAUGGUAUUUUAGUUGUUUCGAAUAAUUAGUUUAAUUUUAUAUAUGUCUACCUUUUAUUUUACAAUAAUUAUUUUAAAUAAAAAUUUAACUUCUGAUAUUAUCUCCUAUAUAUUAAACCUGGAGUAUUACAUCAUUUUUUGUAGUCACGUGUCACCAUGAGAAUGAUUUUUAGAAUUCUUAAAGAAAUAUGUUGGUUCAUCUCAUCAUAUAUUAUUGUUUUUUAUUAAAAUAACUAUCGAAUUAAUUAAUAGUGUACAACUAAAAUAUUCUAUAUUAUUUCUUUAAAUAGGAGAUACGAAAUUACCUAAUAUGAUUGAUAUAUAUCGUAAUUAAUGAUUAUGAAUAAUAAAUAUUUUAUAACAAUUUUUUAUCCUACAUACUUUUAGUUCAAUUUUAUAUUAUUAAGAGAAACUAAAAAAUCACAUUAAUCAAAGAAUAUAAAAAAAUAGAUUUUUUCUUAUAUGUUAUCUUUUUAAUUUUUUAAAACGACUAUAAAUUACUAAAAUCUAAAUUUAAUCGUUUUGGUUAAUGUGAUAGUUUAUUGUUAUUAUACGAGAGAUUUUGGUAUAGUUACCAGCUUUCUUAUACGGGAGAUUUUGUUAUAGUUGAAAUCGUUUGUUAAUCAUGGAUUCUAUUGUUAUUAAAAGAUUUUAUUGUUACUAUUCGAAUGGAUUUAAAUUUGGGGUAAUUUUGUUAAAUAUAAUCAAAUAUAUGUUUAAUAAUUAAUUCAGUGGCAUUCAAGUGUAAUUAAAUUGUAAGUUUAAGGGGUAAUUUUUAUUUGUACUUCUGUUUUAAUAGAUUAGAUAAUACUCCCUCCGUUUUUUUAUAUAAGUCGUUUUACAGCUAUGUACGUAGAUUAAGAAAACCAUUAAUUUCUUAUAUUUUCUAAACAAAAACAUCAUUAAUUAUUUACCUAACCACAAUUCAACCAAUAGAAAAAUAUAAGAUAUAUUACUAUUGGUCAUACAACAUUAAUUAUUAAUAAAUUUUACAUAGAAAACCGAAAACGACAUAUAAUUUGGAACAAAAAAAUUUCUCUAAAACGACUUAUAUUAAAAAACGGAGGGAGUAGUAACAAAAAGACUGUCAUAAUCUUGGAACUCAGAUGAGGGUAAAUUAAUAGAAAAAAAACUUGAGAUAAUAAUGAUUAGGGUCAAAGUAAAUUAUGAGAUAGAGGGAUUAUGAAUAUCGAUUUGAUGAUAUUCGAAAUCAUUGAGGUAGUAAUGAUUACCAGAAUAAAAAGCAUUAAUUACACCUCUAAAACUAUAGUACAUAUUAUCAUCACUACAUUAUACUAUCAAAUAUCGAUUGACACCAAUAAUAGUGUGGUAAUGCUUCCAAAAUACACACAAUGUAAGAAGUGAAAUUAUGGUGCAACUGUUAACUGGUAAGCUAUCAAUUAUUUGUUUUCACCACAAGAGUUAUACUAGUAAACUCAAGAAGAACUAGCUAAACUCAUGUAAAUGGGGGUAAAAUGAGGGAGAGGGAGAGAGAAGUGUGGUCUACAUCUAGAAAUGAUGUGAAGAAGGACAACCUCAAAAUAGUCAGUCUCAAGUAUAAGUGUUAGCAUAUGAAGACAAGCGGAGCAAGUGUGGUCCAUUCUUGUUUCUCAUCUGUCCGGAUGACUUUAAUUAUGGUUUCUAUUCUGUGCAUAUGACUGAUCCACCACAUGCUCCUCCUAAUGGCUUUUAAUACAACCAACCCCUAGAGUUUAGAUAUUUUCUGUUUGGUAUUCUUUAAUAUACUUAAAAUAUAAUAUGUUUCAGAGUUUUCUGAUCAAUCAAAGCUCAGAAAAAUACGAAAUCAAAUGUUUUUACUCUCUUGAAGAAUGGGUGUCAAACUUGAAAUUUUUCAUUUUCACUUGCAAAUCCAGUGAAUACAAUAUAUUGUGACGAGAAGUACCAGAAACAAAUUCACAAUAUAGUAUAAGUGAUCGCCACCAGUGACAUAUGUUCUAACUUGAUGCUUUCAGGUCAUCAGAAGAAGUCCAUCGAUGCUUCAAAAUGCUUUAUUAACCACCAAUUGCCUCUUGUUAGAUCUAACUAUCAUGCAUGUGAUCCCUUUUCUUUCCUUUUAUCUAUUUGGUAAUGUGGCAUUUUCUGAAACCUAAUUCUCCUUUUAUAAUUCCUUAACGAACUAACAAUUUAUUUGGAAAAUAUUCUUUUUAAAGAUUUACCCAAAAUUCACUAAAAAUCAAAAUAGGUUUACAAGACAAUAGUGUAGAAUUAGUAAACGUAUAUCAAUAAAGUUAAAAUACCUACAAGUUACGACCAUAUGUAAGAGUAGCUUCAUCUUGUGCAUAUCGGUGGACGUCCACGUAUAUCGCGAACAUCCAUGCCAAACGGUAGGCGUACAUACCAUCUCAAGUUUAAGAAAUGUUUUUAAAAUCAAUCAAAUCAUGUAACACCACAUAUAUCUUUUGUCACUGUAGGAAUUUUUAGAAGCACCAACCAAUCAUGAACGGUAAAAGUGUAACUAAUUCAUAGAAACUGAGAAAAGAACCCUCUCACUUGUUCUUCUUCCCAAGAAUGUGAUGAUAACUAUAAUGAAAUGGGCCAUGAAGUAAUAGAAAAACAUAUAUAAUUUGGUCACGCCUAUAUCGUAAGUGUAUUAGGCCCAAUUAUGAUUCAAUAGAGAUCGGUCUGAUUGCUUCAAUUAUGACUGCGACUUGCCUUAUUCCUACCCCAUUAUUUGUUAAAAACUUGUAUGGUUUCCCUUCGGCCACAUCAUGCUUGAAAUGAAUGGCCUCUACAUCACCUGCGUCUUGUCCAAAUAUGAAAAACGAGAGAUGCGCUUUCGUAGAUUAUUACUCUAUUAUUAUUAUUAGAAUGUUUUUUGUCACCCGCACAAUGCUCAUCUAAUUGGAGAUGGUAAUCACCGAUUAAUUAAACCCUUGAUAAUGAUGAUAUAAAAGACAAUACAUCAUUUUCGUCACUUGCUUUUAAGCCUUCCCUUUUUGGAGUUUUUCUAACCCCAUAGCAUUUCGUUAUCAUCUACUAUACCAAUGGGUACGGUUUUGUUCAUUGCUUAAUUAUUGUGCUAAUUAAGUUUCUUAAUCCCAACUUGUGCACUUUUUAAUGAGUCGGUGGAUUGCCAAGAUCUUUUGGACGGCGAAAACCUAUACUUCUUUACUCCCACUUUCUUUACUUUAUUUCUAAACCUAAACUUAUAAUUCUAUUUUUUUCUUUCUAAUACAUCAGUAAUGGUACCUUAUCAUUCACCCUUUUGUUUAAGUUUCCUUCGUUAUGAUCAUGUUUUUGCUUUGAGUUUCAUUAAUUAUAAAAUGAAAAAAAUGGUCGCGAUUCAAGCUAUACGCGCACUUUACACUAAUUUUAUAAACCUUUGAUAAACUCAACAUUUUUAGCUGUGAUCACACACUUUAGUUUGACUAUCUAUUACUUAAAUCAAAAUAUAAUAAAUAAAAAGCUGGAAAUAUUUAGUAUAAAAUCAUCAAAUUCACUACUUUCAAGUAUAUAAUAAAAAGUUGUAUCUUAGCUUUAGAAGUGCAUUGUGACCAGUUUACAAGUACAGUCGUAAAUUUUAUUUUUUCGAAGGUUGAUGUUGUUUGGUCCGCUAUAUCAUUUUUAUGGUUACUGGAACAUAUUUUUAAAAGAGAAAACGUAGAAUCGAUAUAUGAUUAUCGAGGUUCCAAAACGUAUAAAAUACUGAAGGUGGGGAGACAACAAGUUUGCGAGGAUCGUGCGAAAUCUUCAUCAGUUCAACAAAUAAGAGCAUCAUCUUAGAAAAUAAUAAGUUGGUCCAAGAGUUACUUUCAGUCACCGCCUACUAAUAAAAGCAUGAUCAAUGGAAGAUUUUUAAAGUAAAAUUUUUAGUGGAAUAUAAGAAACCGUUUCAUAAUUUUUUUUUUUUAAAAAACUAAAAAUCAGUUUUUAAAUAAGAGAUUUAAAAACCGGUUCUUAACUUUUUUUAGUUAAAAACUAAGAGACGGUUUCUUAUAUUCCAUUGAAAAUCUUAUUAAUAAUGUUCUAAGUACUAUUUUAUUUCACUUUAUAGUUUAAUAUUUUUCUAAUUGCGAAACUACCGAAAUUUAUGGUAAACAAACUAACAAGUACUUAAUCUUUUCAUUAAUAUAUAGUUCAAUUAUAUAUCUGAAAUAUUCUUAAGAUUGAUGCAGCAGUACUUAAUCUUUUCAUUUUCUAUGACGUUGGUUUGUAUAAAAUCUCAUUCAAAUGCCAAAUCACAUGUAUAAAAUAUUUGGUAUUUCUUACUAUGUUUAUUUUACGUAGAUAAUCAGAAGUGGUAAGAAAAAUGAUUAAAAAUAGUCACAAUAACAUCAAAAUCGUUGUAUCGAUUACAUUUUUUUAGAAUGAGUUUACAUGAAUCAAAUCGUUUGCUACGUAGUUUAGUUUAAUUUGUGUAUUUUACUGUGUAUUAAAAUUAAUAAUCAAUAUUUCGUAGAAAAUUAUUGUAAAGCAUUUAUUUGUUGUAUCUGGUAGCAAUGUAAUCUAUUAAACUUAUUUUCACCAUUUUAAAUAUUUGGCAUUCUUAAAAUUGUUCUAAAUUAGAUGAAGUUUAAUGUAAAAUUUAUUAAAUUUUUACGUUGUUUGAUUUGAGGUUAUGUGAAUAUAUAAUGAUGUUUUGUAUAGAAAAUAUAAAAAAAUAAAUGUUCUCUUAUUUUAUUGCAUAAUUCUAAAACGUCACAUAAUUUAAAAAAAUACCGAGGGAGUACUACUUUUUAAUAAUUGCGAUUAGUGAUGAACAAAACAAAUGGAAAAUAAUUAAAGAAGGAGUUUGAUAAGUUAAUUUAACCGUUAAUCAAAGACCGCCGCUAUAUAAAGAGAGAGAAAACAGAGGGAGAGAGAAGAAGAAGAAGAAGAAGAAGAAGAUGGGGCUACAAGGUCAGCUCAGUGACGUCUCUUCCGACUCGAUCCCUCUGAUGCUCCUCUCUCUCCUCUUUUUCAUAUUUGUCACGAAAAUUUAUAUGUUAAACUUACUUUUACAAAAUUCUUAACUUUGUCACGAAAACAAAAAUCUAUGCUUUUUCAUAUUUGUCAACGUUCUCACACUUUCUAAGAAUAUAUUAGCUUAGUCACUUACUUAUUUUUUUUUUACAAAACAAACUAUCGGAGUCUUGAAAGUUGAAUUCAUAUUAUUGUAAAUGUACAUAAGAGUUUGUGAUUAUAUACUUAGUGGUUCUUGUAUAUGUAUCCAAGAAAGUUUCAAUGGCUUAGUGGUAACUGUCCUAUAUAUAUAUCAUACUAACCCGGGUUCGAUUCUCACCUUUGCAUUGUUUUUUUAUUUUUUACGAAAAAUAAAUGAGAUGACAUGGCAAUUUCGGGUUCUCUGAUUGAUUGAUUUUUCUAUCCUAUGUGGACACCUUCUCCAUGGCUUAUAUCCCCCUUUUAGUAUAGUAUAGAUGUUCUAAGUACUAUUUUAUUUCACUUUAUAGUUUAAUAUUUUUGUAAUUGCGAAACUACCGAAAUUUAUGGUAAACAAACUAACAAGUACUUAAUCUUUUCAUUAAUAGUUCAAUUAUAUAUCUGAAAUAUUCUUAAGAUUGAUGCAGCAGUACUUAAUCUUUUCAUUUUCUAUGACGUUGGUUUGUAUAAAAUCUCAUUCAAAUGCCAAAUCACAUGUAUAAAAUAUUUGGUAUUUCUUACUAUGUUUAUUUUACGUAGAUAAUCAGAAGUGGUAAGAAAAAUGAUUAAAAAUAGUCACAAUAACAUCAAAAUCGUUGUAUCGAUUACAUUUUUUUAGAAUGAGUUUACAUGAAUCAAAUCGUUUGCUACGUAGUUUAGUUUAAUUUGUGUAUUUUACUGUGUAUUAAAAUUAAUAAUCAAUAUUUCGUAGAAAAUUAUUGUAAAGCAUUUAUUUGUUGUAUCUGGUAGCAAUGUAAUCUAUUAAACUUAUUUUCACCAUUUUAAAUAUUUGGCAUUCUUAAAAUUGUUCUAAAUUAGAUGAAGUUUAAUGUAAAAUUUAUUAAAUUUUUACGUUGUUUGAUUUGAGGUUAUGUGAAUAUAUAAUGAUGUUUUGUAUAGAAAAUAUAAAAAAAUAAAUGUUCUCUUAUUUUAUUGCAUAAUUCUAAAACGUCACAUAAUUUAAAAAAAUACCGAGGGAGUACUACUUUUUAAUAAUUGCGAUUAGUGAUGAACAAAACAAAUGGAAAAUAAUUAAAGAAGGAGUUUGAUAAGUUAAUUUAACCGUUAAUCAAAGACCGCCGCUAUAUAAAGAGAGACAACAGAGAUAGAGAGAGAGAGCAAGAAGAAGAAGAAGAAGAAGAUGGGGCUACAAGGUCAGCUCAGUGACGUCUCUUCCGACUCGAUCCCUCUGAUGCUCCUCUCUCUCCUCGCCGUCUUCCUCGGCCGUCUCCGCUCCUUCCUCCACCGUCCCUGCGAUCCCGAUUCCAAUCUCUCCGUCGACGACUCCUAUCUUUUAAAAGGGUUGACGAUCUAUUUCUCCCUGAGAAGUAUCAUAUAUCACUAGAUACACACAGACUUUUGACCCCGUUCUAUUUCCCCCCUAAAUUAAAGUUCGAAUCCUAUAUCCCCCCAAUUCGAAAGAUCAAGUUCUUUUCCCCCAUACCGUCGAAUUUAAACAUUGCAAUACACAUAGGUUUGAAUUAGCGCCGGUUUACUGUUGAUCAUUUAACCGUAAUCUAUUGUUGCCCAACAAAAACCGCGAUUUAACCGAAAAGAUCCGUUUAAGAUCCGAUUAAAACCCGAUUAUAACCCAAUUGUUAUUGGUUUAACCCGAAUACAUAAACCCCCAAAUCCCCAGUGUUCUUCAUCGACAAACAAACCCUAGAAAGAUUUACCGGCCUAUUUCAGUUGAUUACAAGUAGAAACAAUGGAGACAGUUGGUGAAAGCACGAUUCCUUCACUUAGGGAUGAAUCAGACGACGAAGAAGAGAUGGAGAGACAUGCUUUCCGGGUUGAAGAAGAUGUAGCUGCAUUCAUCAACGAACCUCCCAUCCGGCAUAACAUCUAUCCCGAUACCGAGACUGAUAGUGAUACAGAUGAGGAGAAAGAUGGUGAAGAGCAACAAAUGAAACGACAGAGGACAAGAGAGCGUUAUCGAAUCAGAAGAGGUGACGGGAAUCUCUUCGAGGGCCAAGUAUUCUUCAAUGGAGUUGCAUUCAAAGAGGCGGUAUUGGACUACGCUCUGAAGACUGGUCACAAUAUCAAGCAGUAUAGGUACGACAAAACCAAACUUGGUUUUAGUUGUGUUGGUCGGAAUGUAGAUUCACACUGUCAGUGGCGUGUUUAUUGCUCGAGUAAAGGAGAACCAGAGAGAUGGUAUGUUAAAGUGUACAAGAAUGAACACAGUUGUGUUCCAAAUGGAGAAUGUGAGAUGCUUAAGGUCCCGGUGAUAGCUAGGUUAUUUGUUGAUAAGAUAAGAGAAGAACCAAAAUAUUUCAUGCCAAUGAAGAUAGAAGAACUGAUCAAGGAGAGGUGGAAGAUCACGGUUUCUAGAGCACAAUGUCAAGCUGCCCGAAAUAAAGCAAUGGGGUGGAUUGAGAAGGAGUAUGAUACUCAGUUUGCUCGAAUCCGAGACUAUGCUGCCGAGAUUCUCGAGUCAAAUAUCAACUCUUCGGUGGAAGUCGAGACCAAGAGAAAUGAGGAAGGAAAAGAUGUGUUCGACCGUUUCUAUGUGUGUUUCGAUGUGCUUAGGAGAUCAUGGAAAGCUAUGUGUAGACCUCUUAUUGGGAUGGAUGGCACAUUCUUAAGAGGGAAAACUAAAGGACAAUUGUUAGUGGCUCUUGGUCGAGAUGGGGAUAAUUCAAUCUACCCCAUUGCUUGGGCAGUUGUUCAAGUAGAAAAUACUCCAAAUUGGAUAUGGUUUGUGAAGCAUAUCAAGACAGACUUGGGUUUAGGAGAUGGUGAUGGAUAUAUUAUGGUCUCCGAUCGUCAGAAGGUAAGCUUUGAUUGUCAUGUUAUAUUUUUAAAAAAUAUUAAUUUUUUUUAUGUUUGUGUGUGGUCGGUUUCAGGGACUGAUCAAGGCAGUUCAGUUGGAGCUUCCGAAGAUGGAGCAUAGAAUGUGUGUUAGACACAUUUAUGGAAACGUGAAAGCUAAACAUGGAAAGAAGAGUGACAUGAAGCCAUAUAUUUGGCAACUUGCUUGGAGCUACAAUGAGGCGGAGUACAAGGAGAAUCUAGAUAGGCUUUUCAACUACGACUCAGAGGUGUAUGCAGAUGUGAUGAAGACUAAUCCAAUGACUUGGGUUAGAGCUUUCUUCAAGUUGGGGAACUAUUGUGAGGACGUUGAGAACAACUCAACCGAAUCUUUCAACGCCUCCAUCGUUUGUGCCCGUGAAAAGCCAAUGGUACCAAUGUUGGAUACCAUUGCACGUCUUGCAAUGGUGCGUAUCGCUUCUAGAUAUCUGAUUGCUCAAGACCACAAGAGCAUAUGCACACCUUAUGUGGUUGAUAUACUUGCUUUGGAGCACAAAAAAGCAUCAGAGUGUACUAUUUAUAGAAGCACAAAUGGUAUGUGGUUGGUGAAUGUUGACUCAUGUUCUUACCGUGUCAAUUUGGAGAAUCGAACAUGCACGUGUAUGAGGUGGGAUAUCACUGGGAUCCCUUGUGAACAUGGAUACGGUGUCAUCUUGGAUAGAAAACUAGAGGCUGAGGAUUUUGUGUGUCACUGGUUUCGGACGACAGUGUGGAGGAGGACAUACGAAGAGGGCAUAACACCAUUGAGAGGAGCACGAUUUUGGCCGACUUCUUCAGCCCCUGAAGUGCAUCCAGCUCCUGAGCCACACCAGCCUGGUCGCAAAAAGAAGAAAGACAACAAAAGGAAAAAGGGCAAAAAUGAGUCUCCUGUGAAGAAGAAACCGAAGGCGUUGAAGCGCAUUAUGCAUUGUGGACUUUGUGGUGCGCCUAACCACAAUAUUCGUUUUCAUAAGGAGGGACCCCAUAAGAAGGUAUGAUUCAUUUUUCAUAUCCUCUAUAUGGUUCUCCUUUCAUUACUUACAUAAGACUCUUUUUUUUUAAUCUUUAUAGGCUCCACAAGCUGAACCAUCUCAAACCUUUGCUAGUCAAGGUGAAUCCUCUCAAGCUUGAUGUUCUUUAGCGGUAACUACAGUAGGAAAGGAAGAGCAAGAAGUAUUUUUUGGGUUGUGUCUUCUUUCUUUUUUCGGCUAUUUUGUUGUUGUCAUCUUCAUGGUUGAUGAACAAGAAUCCUUCUACUUAUUUUGGUGUUUUCUUCCUUUUGUAUGGACAUGACUCGAUCAUGUAGGUUAUAACCAAGAAAAUACCAACAUUUUCAUUCAUUAAACAACAUAAAAAACGUCAAGUACAAGUACUACUUCAUAGCAUUAAACAACAUUUAUCGAAAUGAAAUCCAUCACACAAGCUUAAUGAUGACAAACCCAACAACACAAGCUAUUACAAUUCCAGCACACAUCUUCUUCAUGCUCCAUUUCGCUUCCUUUAACACUUCUUCCAUCUCCAUAACUUUGCUUCGACCGUCGUCUUCCACCAUAGUUGACCUCUAAAAGAAAAGACUUGGUUAUAUAAAAGCAACAACUUAAAGAAGAAGAAGAUUGAUAUAAUAGGAAAUGUGCAAAAGGAUGGAAUGAUGAGGGGGUCUUAUAUAAAGGGUCAAGGAGGUUAUGUCCCUCCUUUUUUUUCCAUAUAUAAAAAUGUAUCAUGAUUGUUUAUUAGCAAUUAUAUACACGUGAUUGCACAAUUUGAAGUAUGAUUUGUAGAUUAGAGUGAAGUUGAGGGGUAACAGUAAAUUUUAAAAACUUUGGGAGAUGUGAACAACUCUAAAUAACGUUGAUCUUCGAGCCUAUUGGGUAUGUUUUCCCUAAAACCCUUUUUACAAUUUUAAGAAGAAGCAUGGUUGUUCGAAAUUAGUAUAGAUAACAAGAGUAGGUUAAUUAGUGAAAUACUUAUCAGGAAGCGAUGCAUAGCAUAGAAAGGCACGUAGAUGGAGAGAGAGUGGAAUAGUCUUUGGCCUUGAGUGUUGUGCAGCUUCCUUCUUUUCCUCAGUCCUCACUCUGCACCAUAUGCUCUCUUAUCUUUUUGUUUAUACUACACUACAUACGUUUCUUCUUCAUUGUAUUUUCUUUUUGCUAUAUAGAAACUACUCAAACUAGUAUAUAUCCUUGUUUAAGAACUCGCUAGGCGCUAGUCGGGUGCUCGGUGUGGGCCUAGCGCCUAAUCAAUAAAUCGGGGAUUAUACGGGGAUUAAUUGGGGAUUAGUUUUUGUAAUUAUUUAUUAUAAAUAUAUGCAUAUAUAUUAGGAAAUGUGUAGAUUCACCAAGAUGUAUUUCGGUCUAGUGGUUUAUAUCAUUGAGUACGAUGUGGCAGGUCCUGGUUUCGAUUCUCAAGCCCAUCCUCUUUUAAUAUUAAGAAAAAAAAUUUUAAAACAUUCUAGCCAAAGUCCCACAUCGACUAAAUACAAAGAGAAAGUGACUUGAAGACCUGUAUAUAUAGCUACAUGUGGUUAGAGACAAAUCUUGCAACUGGGCUUCAAUAAAAAGGCCCAAGUUCUGCCUAAUCAGUAAAAUAAAUCGGAUUUAAUCGGUUAAAAAUCGGUUAUAAAACCGAUUAAUCGGGUUAUUGGCUGAUUAGUUGGUUAACCGAUUAAUUAAGCCGAUUAGGUCUUAAUCGCGGCGGUUGCAUACCGUUGAGCGCCUAGCCGGGCGAUUAAUCGGCUAGGCGGCCGCGUUUUAGAACAGGUAUAUAUGCAUGUAAAAACAAAAAUGCGGAGAACAAUGAAUAUGAAUUUGGAUGUUAGGUUAUAAGCAGACAAAUAAAUGGGCCUUCUCAUUUGGCAAUCGUGUCGCCGUACGUUCUCUUUAAUAUUGUACACACAUGUGUGUGUUUUUGUGUGCUAUUUGAGAACUGAGAUACUCAUUCAUCGUCCAAUGCACAUUAUCACCGUCCAAAUCCCAACCCAUCUUAGUUCCACCGAUUGCAGAGCUGACCAUUAAGUAGAUUCACCAGUUCAUCUCAAAGUAUAUAUUAAAUUAAAACUCAUGGUCUUGUAGCCUCUCUGAGUAUAAUCAAAUUAACAUUUUUGAAAAGCAAUAAAAAGAUACAAGAAACAAAAACAGAAGACAAGACGUGCACAUGGUUUUAGUCCAGAGGUGGGACUCAAAUUUCAUCGUGUCGCAAACUUUUCUUUCAGUUUUUGUCAAACAUCUGGACUCUUUAGUGACUUAAUAGACAAAAAGUUAACACCUUUAUAUCUGUUUACGUUGACACUCCACUCUUACGUAAUAUUCCCAUUUUACACCGUAAGUGGGAUCACUCUCACGUCCUCCUUCAAUCUUGACCGUUCACAGAUCGCACUACUCAGAUUAGACUGUAUUACAUAACUAGGAUAAGACUUGCGCCUUGCGCAGGAUGAGUUUAUAUAAAAAAUAUUUUUAAAAUAUUGUAUGGAAACUAAAAUUUAUAUAUUUAAUCGAAAUAAUAUUUUUGACCAUAUACAAUAUUUUUUUACCUUUUUGUUGAUUAUAUAAUUUGUUUUCUAAUGGACUACCUCAUUUUUGUAAAGCGUUUUGGAUCUUUGAUGAAAUUUUGGUUCAGUUUCAUUUUAGUUAUUUGGGUUUUUGGUUUAGUUUAGCAUCUAUUCAGGCAUUUAGAAAGUUUAGUUUGGUUAUUUGGUGUUUUGGUUCGGUUUGAGUAACAAAUUUGAGACCAGCUUAUAUUUGAAGUAAUUUUGGAAUCCUUUUCGGUUCGGUCCGAGUAACAAAGUUGGGAUUUUUUUUGUUUUCGAAUUAAUUUAGAUAAUUUAAAUAUUUUAGAUAAAAAGUACUCUAGUAAUUCAUUUUUUGGGUAUUUCGACUUAUAAAUAACAUUUUAAAAUUAUUUGAUUAUCUUAAAACUACAUAGAGUUAAUAUUUAUAAAAAUAUAAACUAUAUUAUAGAAAUUCGGAUACCCAUUUUUUUUGUUCGGUUCCGAUUCGAUUUUUCGUUUCUAAAGAUAUAUAAUCACUCUUUUUAUAAUUGAUAGAAUCCAACGCAAACCAAACCUCGUUUUCUUAUUCAGUUUUUGGUUCUAGAUAAAUGUGCUCAUGCUUAAGAAUGCUAAUCACGUUAGGUAUUUAUAUAGACAGAUGAACUUGUACAUAGGGAGCCAUGUACGCUGUCGUUGGUUAGUUUCCAUUAGUUAGAAUACAAAUUAAUACAGUAUGACAGAGAGAGAUGGCUUUCUCACACACCCUUUUUAUAUAGGAUUCAGACAGUAUAUAAUGUCAUUUUUUUUCUUAAGAUUCAUCUAUUUAUUAAAGAAAGUAUAUUUACCGUAGAACAUGCACAUAUGCAAUAUUUAGUGAAUAAGAUAUACGACCAAGACAAAAUUACAUUUAUGUCAACACUACAUGGGAUAAAUGUGCAUUCUGAAUUUAAAAAAAAGUUCCAUUAUAUAAAUUUACUUUCUCACGUUUAGAAACUCCCACAUAGCAAGAAUUAACAUUAAAUGUUGUAACUUUAUAUGAAAAAUCACAUAUUUUAGAUCCUUUUUAACAUCACACACUUUUAGAUUUAGAAUUUUAAUUAUGUCUACUAACCGGUGCAGAUAUUUUAAUUAUGUCCAUUAACCGGUGCAGAUAGGAUCAGAUUCGUCGAUAGUUUCUUCACCGAUGUGAUCAUAUUCAAAGCUCACCUAGUUAUUCUGUGUAAGUAAUGGACUUCACUGGUUAAUCUGAGGACAUAAUUAGUUGCCUCUUCAAAAAUAGCUUGGAGACUGAAUGGUUCUUUUUUUCAAAAGCAAUAGAUCCAAAACAUCGCUGAUGAGUGUAGUCACAAGACAAAGAUACACCUCCUGAGUUACUGCUGCUUCUAAGUGCUGAAGUAUUAUGAGCUUGAUAGAAUUAGUUUUCAAAGUUCAUAGUUACUGCUGCUACCAAGUCCAUAUUUUUGUAUAGAGAAUGUGACUCUUUUACCUACAAACACAAAAAAAAAUGCAUCUCUGUCUAAUGGAUUCAAAGCUUAUGCCUUUGAAAAAACACAUACCAACGUUCAUACACAUAGAUGAGGACAGUUCAGCACAAUCCCGUCUUUUUUACACAAAUAUGGUGCAUUCUACAAACAAUCAAAAUACAGAUAAAUAUUUAUAAGCAAGUUAAUACUUUCCCAAAUCGUUUCAACAGUUUGAACAUAUAUCGAAAAACAUGGAAGAUCUUGAUUCUUAGCUCGAAAAAAAUAUAUUUACCAAGUAAUUAGCAAUCCCACAAACAAAGAUCAAGCUUGCAACGUCGAGCAUCAAUUAUAUAAACGCUCCUUCCCUGUCCCCAACUCCUUCUCCAACCAUCUCUCCCUUUACACGCACAUCUCCCACUCCUCGCACCUCCAUUAGACCCACAGGCCACAACAUGUCAAAGCCCUCGAAUCUCUCAACAUCCCCACCGUCCCCUGCGACCACCGUCCCUCCUCCAAACCCCUACCACCGUCAUAACCUGUGACGCCAGCUCCCAGUUCCGCCUCGUAACCUCCAUCUCCUUCACAACAUUCAGAACUCUCUCCACAUCUCUCGUCUCCCUCUCUUUCCUCAACUGUCUUUCUCUCUGCUGACCACAUCGCCUCCUUAAUUUACUCCACUCAUUCUCUGCCGCCGCAACUCCCUCUUAAAACCUACUGCGUCUCUUUGUUAAUAUUUUUUUAAAACUUAGUUUAUAAGGUGUUAAUCGUAUAACAAAGUCUUCCUAGUUAAUAUGACGUUCCCUAGCAAAUUGAAAUUGGACUAACUAAUUUUUCAAUCGAUUCUAAUCAUGACACAUCAGCAAAAUUAGGUUCUAAUUAAACGCCACCUCAGCAAAUUUAAAAUGUAAUUAGUACAAAAUUAAGGUUACAUAUUUUUAAAUGAUCCUCAAUUAAUAUAUAGGAGAUCACAACGCCACCUUCUGCGUCAUUUAUGUGUCUUACCUUUUUUCUACAUUGAUUAUCAUUUUCUUUGUCCUCUAUUAACUUCUUACUUUAGAUGAUCCAAAUAAUGAUAAAUGUAAUAUUUGAGCAUAUACAACACAAACCACUUCUUUUCCUAUGAGUAACAGGCCCGGGUCUGUGACAGAAGUCAAAUGGCUUGCUUUAAGCCAUAAUCAUCCAUUCAUACAUUAAUAUAUUACACUUUUAGAUUUCAAAAUGAUAAUAAUAAUCAAGCAUAAAUGAUCUCUACUCUUAUAUGAUAGUGAUCUCCAUCGAAAACGAAAGUAUAUUUUUAAGAUGAAAAAGACAACAGUUUCUCAGUAUACGCUUUGGAUUGUUACCAAAUGUCCUUCAAUAAAUUAUACAAGAAUGGUAAAAUUACAACUCUCCAACAAACUCAUCGCUGAUCAGUUUCUAGUCCAUAUGCAGCUCAAUUUAAACAAAUAACUAAUACACAAUAAUCCAAAUCAGUAUACAUUAAUUAUACAAUUUCUGUAGAGGUAUAACAAAGUUGUAUAGAUUUUGUAAUUUUGCAUAAUUCAACAAAGGUAAAAGUAAAAGGGGGUGAAAAAGAAUGACUUUUUGAGAGGAAUCCAAGACGUAGACUGCAAUUCUCAUUGGACAAAGUCAUCAAAAGCCUAAACAAACAGGCUCAUAUUAUACUAUUUCUCGUUAAUAUAUAUGGCCAUAAACUAUAGAGAGGAAAAACAAUCAUUGGAUACUCAAAAGGUGUAACUGGUAAAUAUAUAUGGAAUUUGUGGAAUUUAAAAUAAAUGGAAUGGUAAGAAUGGAAUACAGCAAAAAAUGGAAUGGAAUUCAUUCCAUUCUUUCAUGAUCAAAUUUGUUAUGGAAUGAUUUUCUUUGUAUUUUCUCUAUUUAUUUUUGGAAUUGAUGGAAUGAGUAUUCAAUUUCAUUCAUGUCAAAUGGUAAAUUUUUUUAUGGAAUUAAUGGAAUAGGUCAUUCCACGUCAUUUCAUUCUAAAUAUUUACAAUCCAGUUGCAGCCAAGCCAAAGAGAGAAAAGGGUAUGAAUUAUGAAAUAAGAAAAUAAUGAUAUCCUAAAAUCAAGGAAAAGGCCAAACGGCCUGGGGUCAUUUUGUAAGGGGCGCAUGAGCCUCUCGAACCCCACAAAUAUCCUUUGGCAUGACCCUUGGACAAGAAGAAAAUAUAACAUGCAAUGUAGGCGCCAAAUGCCAUUGAACAAGAGAAAAGGAAAAAAAAAAAACUAUUUUAUCACUUUUAUAAAUCUUAUAUGGAUAAUGUGAUUGACGGAAUAGGUAACUUAGCUGUUUAUAAUAGUCCUGGACUCACAAUUCAGCUUGUAAUCUUUUAACUUCUCGCUUUGCUCAUAGGAUUUAAAACUGUAAGAGCAUGCGCAUUGGGAGUUUAAAGGGAGGGGGUCACACGUUUUCCAAAAAAAAAAAUAUUAAAAUAAGCAUAAAUGAAGACUUCGGUUCGUCCCGCUUCUUCCGCGUGAACCCGGGUCGUGACUGUUCAGCGGGCCCCACGCCACGUGGCGGCCCGCUAUUGAUCACUUUAUUUAAUUUUUUUUUUUUUUUAAAUCAAACGAAAAAAAAAAAUAAAUUAAUUUCCUGAACUUCAACAAGCGGUUCACCGCUGCGCAUGCUCUUACGAUAUAUAUACUGCGGGCCGGAAAUGAAUGUGUAAUGUGGCAAUUGAUUAGUAUUUUAAAGUUUGGAAUUUUGGGUAGGUGUUAAAACCCAUUAAGGCCCUGUUCGUUUGGUCACCCAGGUGUUCCAUCUGGGUGAAGAUGCAAAUCGAUGUUCGUUUAGUGCAUUAUAAUGCUACAUCCAGAUGGAUCAUCCAGCUGAAUUUUUAAAAACUCAUCUCAAAUUCUCACCCAAAUGAAGGUGAGUCUUGAUGGUGCAUCUGGAUGCAGAUGCAUCUAGUUCAGUCCAAAAUAGUCAUGCAUGUGGAACCUCGCCACGGUGACUCCAUGGGAUCUUAUCGUAUGAGCACCUAACUGAAUUUCGGGCAUGCUUAUCUAUAAACGCACAGGAGAAGCAUCGGUCCAUAAAGAUAGUUUCAGAACUAGGGUUUCGCAGAAAGUUACUAAAUUAGGAAAGUCUAUGGUAGAAAUGGAAACUUUGCUCGAACUUAAACGAGAUUACAAGUUUCAACAGCUCCUCUUAAGUAAAACAAGUAACCAACAAACAGGACACAAAACACCAGGGGGAUAGCUCAAUUCCACUAUAACUUGCGUCUCAAGAACAGAUUGGUGAUAAGAGAGAAGACGAUGAGUGUACCUUUUGGCGUUAGAGAUGAUGAUGAUAGGCGCAGGGGAAAACGUCUCUACUACUCGCUGUUGGUUGCGUGAAUAGGAAUGGAGGAAGCGGGAAAGGGAGAAUCUCUGAGUAGUUUCUCGGGGAAACUCAAAGGAAAGGGAAAGAUGAAGGGUUUGGUCCAUAAAGAAUAAAGCUAUCACUGCUUUAGCUUUAUUUAUGCCUUUGUUUUUUUUCCAGAAAUAAUAGAGAGACUACUUAUGUCUUGUUGUGAAUUUUUAAAAUUUGAACUGGAUCCACUCAUGCUGAGUUUUUUUUUAAUAAAUAAUGGAAAUAAACAAAAUAGAAAGUAAUAAGAAGAAAAUAAAGUUUUCUUUACUUGUAAGAUUUUUUUUUUUGUGUCUUUUUUUUUUAAGUUUCAAUCUCACAUAUAUUUCUUAAAUGAUUAAAUCUAAUAUUAUUAUUUUUGUAAGUGAUUAACAAACUGAGUAAACAAUUGUACAAAUAAAAAUAUGAUGGCAAUAUCAGAUUUUUCAUGUAUAUUUAUGAUUAAAAUUAAUGAGGAUUAAAUUUUAAUUAAUUUACUAGAUAAAUUAUAUAUUUUUCUUACAAAAAUAAUAUUUCUAUUCUAGAAUGAUUUAAUCAUAUAAAUAAAUUAGUAAAAUACAUGAUUAGUUUCAUUUAACUAAUCAUUUAUAUUUUUGGUUCUUCAAAUAAUACUCUUUUGUGUAACUUCAUCAAAAAUGAGUUAAAAUCAAAAUACACUGGUGAUAUUUUUAAACUCCAAUAUAUGAUCGUUUUGAAGGAAAAAAAUUAUGGAGAAUUCUUUGUUCUUCGUAUUUUAUUCCAGUUAUGUUGAAUUUUUUUGUUAAAUUAUUGACAGUUGGACUUCAUUUUUUUCUUCUAAAUUCCUCAUGGAUUAAUGAAUUUAUAAAAAAUAAUAAUCUUUUCAAUUUUAACAAGAAAUAAAAUAAAUUAUUCCUACUUUUUAUUAUUUUCAGUAAAAAAUUUAUUCGUUAUUUUGUUCAUCUUCUCCUUUCAUAGAGCCAAACUUUCUUUGUUCACCAAAGCCGCGUUCACCAAAGGCCCAUGGUAACACACAAUCAAAUUUUGAAAUUGGGUUUGCCAUUUAGCGGGCCCAAAGUAUUUUGUGGUAAAGAGAAGAAAGUUAACAUCUUCCAUCAAUCACCACCGGUCGUCACUCCACGUGUACCGGACAUGAGAAACAUCUGCCUUAAAAGUUCCGGUCUGCACCGAGAGCCAGCCACCAUUCUCCAAAUCUCCACUCGAUGGCGACGAUUCCUCCCCAACUCCCCUUGGCGACCCGCUCUGCUCUUCGCCGGGCGUCUUCCUCCGUCCAUUUCUUCACCGCCACUUCUUCGUUCCGUCACCGCGCAACGAAGCUGUUUCUCCCGAGAGCCUUCUCUUCCUCAGUCAAGCUCCCCACGAAACCGCCGCUCUGCACCGCCGACGAGCUUCACUACGUCUCUGUUCCCAACAGCGACUGGCGCCUCGCUCUCUGGCGCUACUUCCCUCCUCCUCAGGUAACCAUCUCUUCACCCUUCUCUCUGUAUCCUCUGUUUUUUUCUUCUUUCUGAUAAAGUCUUCUCCUUUACAGACGCCCACGAGGAAUCAUCCUCUCUUACUCUUGUCUGGAGUCGGAACUAAUGCCAUCGGAUACGAUCUAUCUCCCGGUGUAAAUGUUUUUGAUUCAACUCUGUUUUGAUUUGACUCUGUUUUUCAUAAAGUUUCUACCUUUACGUGAUUUGACUCUGUUUUUCAUAAAGUUUCUACCUUUACGUGAUCUUUCUAACACUGCUUGAUGUAAUUCACAGUGCUCUUUCGCAAGACACAUGUCUGCUCAGGGAUUCGAGACGUGGAUUCUCGAGGUUCGUGGAGCAGGGCUGAGUACGAGAGUAUCCGACCUCAAGGACGUUGAGGACUCCGCUCACGAGUUGUCUCAUCAGAUACAAUCCACUGCUAAAGCUGCAGCUAAAGAAGCUCAGGUCACUGAGAUUGCUGACACUGCACCACCAGCUUCGGAUGUUUCCGUUGUUGGUGAAGAAGCCUCCUCAGCCUCAGCUUGGGACGAGUCCAAGAUCGUGGCGAGGCUAACCGCAACGUUCAUGCGUUUAUCAGAAAGACUCUCCGGUUUUCUCAGCGAAGGUCAGUCAUUGUUCAUGUCCGCUAAGCUCUUUGACAAGAUCGCUAUGCUUUUGGAAGACUCGCGGAUGUACGAGCGGUUUAACGAGAUAAGAUCAAAGCUCUUGAGUUUGAUCGAGUCGAGGCAGAACUCAGGACUCGGUAACCAGAUCAGGGAGUUGACUCAGCGGCUUGUGGAUCUUCUUGACGAUGGUCAGAAGUCUGUCUCUCCUCAGUUGAUUGAUCUGCAAGAGAGGCUCACUUCGACUAUUGAGGAUUUUCAGAAGCAGCUGGAUUUGAUUGUUAAGUAUGAUUGGGAUUUUGAUAACUACCUUGAAGAAGAUGUCCCUGCAGCGGUGAGGAAGACUUUGAUCUUGUUAAAUAUAUUACAUAAUAUGUUACUGAACUGGUGUUUGUUUUUUUGUCUUUUGACGCAGAUUGAGUAUGUAAGAGCGCAAUGUAAGCCUAAAGACGGUAAGCUGUUUGCUAUUGGGCACUCCAUGGGUGGUAUCUUACUCUAUGCAAUGCUGUCACGUUGUGGUAAGUUUAUAUUCAUCUUUAUAACGGUCAUAGGUUUAGGCCGUUACUCAUUUUAUUUUAUUCCAUUUUCCUUAGCUUUUGAGGGACGAGAGCCUUGUCUGGCAGCUGUGGCAACUUUGGCUUCAUCGUUAGAUUACACAACUUCAGAUUCUGCUCUCAAAUUACUCAUACCUCUUGUACGUAAAUUUUGCUUUUAUCACUCUCCGUUGGAUUCUUCUGUGGUAAUACUUACUAGAAACUUUCUUGUGUAGGCUGAUCCAGCACAAGCUCUGAGUGUUCCAGUUGUGCCUUUAGGGGCUCUGUUGGCAGCAGCUUAUCCUCUUUCGUCACGGCCUCCAUACGUGUUAUCUUUGCUUAACGAUUUGAUAUCAGCGACGGAUAUGAUGCACCCUGAGCAGUUAGAGAAGCUUGUUUUGAAUAACUUCUGUAAGUACUGAUGUUUGAUCUCGUUGAAGUAUGUACAGAUACUCUUUAUCUCUAUGGUGAUAUUGAGGGUUUCUUUAUUUUGCAACCUUGUAGGUACCAUACCUGCAAAGCUUCUUAUUCAGCUGACAACAGCUUUUCGAGAAGGAGGUUUACGAGAUCGUAGUGGUGAAUUUUACUACAAGGAUCAUCUUUCUAGUACCACUGUCCCUGUCUUAGCUCUUGCGGGUGAUAGGGACUUGAUCUGUCCUCCUAUAGCUGUAGAAGGUAUAUUGGCUUUUGAUGUUUGCUUUUAACUUGUACAUAAAUGAACAGCUACACAAUACAUAGUUGAUUAAUAUUGCAGAAACAUGCAGUAUGUUUACUCACUAGUGUAAAUUUGUAAUUGCUUGUGAAUAUGGCAGACACAGUUAAGCUGUUUCCUGAGAACCUGGUCACGUAUAAGUUACUCGGAGAACCAGACGGACCGCAUUAUGCACACUAUGAUUUGGUUGGAGGACGACUGGUAUGUUGCAUGUUGGAACUUUGUUCAAUGCCUUACAUGAUAUGUGCGUGCUUGUUUUCUAUCUCAAGUCAGUUUCUCUGAUAAUCUCUCACUGCAGGCAGUGGAGCAAGUCUAUCCUUGCAUAACUGAGUUUCUUAGCCACCAUGAUUCUGCAUAAAGUGAAACUUCUCUUCCUGGCAUGAUAUAUGCAUGAAGACGCUGUAUCAGAAGUGCCUGUUAAUAAGGAUGUCAUUUUCGUUGAAUACAUGUACAUUUAGUGUUACGGCAAAACUGUACAUUAGCUUAGGAGGCUUUUUUCCAAGUCAUACACUUGUAAAUUAAAAAAACAUCUAAUAAGAUGCUUGAAGCUCCUGUCUACUUAAUGAUUUCCUUUUUGUUUUGUUAUGGCGACAAGCUGUUUAUUCGAAAAGUUAUGUUUAUUAGAAGAAUGGGUGUUCCCUUCCCUUGUACAUGAGAAGAACUGUAUGUAGACAUGGACUUACAUGUAUAUUAUGAAUCUAUCUUGGAUCUACAGACAACACAUCACUAUCCUACUUUGCAGUAAGGCGUGGGAUGCAUGAUGUAAUGAUAAAACUGAAUCAGUCUCUUCAAAGAUAUUGUCUUUCUUCCAUCAUGUAAGACCAUACUGAGUUCUCUUUUUCCAUCGGCACUUCAGUUCAUUGAAUUCUCUAUCUUGCAGUCAUUGUGCAAAAAUAAAAAUAAUGGUUCAUGUAGAUCAAAGUAUAAAGUGUUAUGGUUUAUAUUUUCUCUUGCGAUUCCUUGGAUCCUACAACUCUCAUAAGAAAGUAUCAAUGGUAAAGUCGGUCGUCAAUACUGUUAAUAGUUUUAACUGUCAUAUGUUUUGAGCAAACAUGCAAAACACAACAGGGAAGUAAACACAAACAUGACUGGUUCAAUUUAAGAACUCAAAACUGAAGUGCAUGUCGGUUCUGAGCUGUAUAUUGACAUUUUAACGCUGUAUCCAACAUGCGAUGGGCGUUUUUAACUACGACAACAGUGGAGAUCCUUCCAUUUAUAUUUUCCAUUAAUACGGAUUUGUUUGACGUUUAUCUUCCACGUAAGAGUGACUCAAGGCCAAUUGACAAAUUGGAGUUUGAUUAGGAUGAUUUUAGUUAGAACGUGAUAUUCAUGAUUUUAGUUUCAACACUUUCCAAAUUCGGAAGACAUGCAUGCAUGUAUACAUACCCAUCCAUAUAUAUAUAAAAAAAUAGUAAAGGCAGAUAAGCUAUACCUGCCUAAUUUGUUACAAGUCACUGAGUCAUAAUUCAUAUCUAAAACCCUUAUCAGAUCCAUGUUUAUUUGUCAUUAAGAUAUAUAAAUGGAACGUUUUUUAAUCAACCAACCUAACAAAAAAAGGAAGAAUAAUCUUGGUAUAUCCAGCAAAGUCCUAGCCAUCAUCUAAUCGUAAACGGUUUGACCAAGAAAACAUACAGAUAAAGAUGACGAUGUGACAGAAGGGACGUCAGCUUAUGCGUAUAUGCAUUGCAUGUACGCUGCGACUCGACGCCACCUUUCCUAUCUAUAAAUAACAGAGACAACUAAGACUUGUAAAAACAUAUAAAUAAAGACAUAAACAGACAAAAGCUUAUUAAAACAUAAACAGUUCAAGGAUGGUGGUUGUCGGAAAUGAUCUCUCGUCCAAGACUCUCCCCAGAGUUCUCAUCGUCUCUCGUCGAACUCUACGCAAGAACAAGUACGUGGACUUCGUGGGAGAGUACCAUCUCGACCUCAUCGUCUCGCACGGCGCCGUCCCUGUGAUCGUCCCACGUGUAAGCGGGAUCCACUCUAUGCUCCGGAGCUUCGAGCCUAUCCACGGCGUCCUCCUCUGCGAGGGAGAAGACGUAGACCCUUCUCUCUACGCAGACAAAGAGCUGCCAGGACUCUCUCAGGAGGACAUGGACGAGAUCAGGAGCUUGCACGCAAGUGACACGACCAUCGACAAAGAGAAAGACAGCAUCGAGCUGACUCUAGCUAAGCUAUGUCUCGAAAGAAACAUUCCCUUUUUAGGCAUCUGUCGUGGCUCUCAGAUCCUGAACGUUGCAGCGGGAGGAACUCUGUACCAAGACAUUGAUAAAGAAGUUGGAACUACGACGAAGCAUAUAGACUAUGACAACUACGAUGAGCAUAGACACGAGGCUAGGCUCGUGGAGGAGACGCCGCUGCGCAAAUGGUUCGACGGGAUGGAUCAGAUCAUGGUGAAUUCGUAUCACCAUCAAGGCGUGAAGAGACUCGCGGAGCGUUUUGCGCCCAUGGCGUACGCUCCCGAUGGUUUAAUAGAAGGGUUUUACGAUCCGGAUCGGUAUGAUCCGGAGGAAGGUCGGUUUCUGAUGGGUCUGCAGUUUCAUCCCGAGAGGAUGAGACGACUCUCGGAUGAUGAGUUUGAUUAUGAAGGAUGUGUUUCCGUUUACAAGGAGUUUGUGAAAGCUGUGACAGCGUUUCAUAAGAAGCAACUUAAUGCAGCAGAGAUUGUGAUGGAGGUGAAGAAGAAGACGCUAGUCAAAAGUGAGCUUUUAGAGGCGAACACUUCGGUUCUAAGCAAGCAACAAGAGAACAGGCUGAAGCAGAUGGGAGCCACGGUGAGGAACUCGUGUGUGUACAUGAAGAGGAUGAAGAGGAAAGAGGAGCAAGAGAGAGCGAUGGAUAAGUUGUCCGCAGAGCGUUUGUCUGAUCUGCUUUCGUUCCACCGUAUGAUGGCUCGUCUUUGCUCUGAUGCCAUCAAGAGGAAGCUGCUGGAACCAGCAGAUAGUGACUAUUGAGACUGCCUUUUUCAUCAACUAUUAGCUUUUAUUGUAAUAAACAUGUUACAUAUAAAUGAAAAUUAGUUUUUCUGUUUACAUUACAACUUGAGAGUUUCCUUUUAAGUAACAUCAUACAUCAUUUUUCAUCAUCAUCAUCGUAUCAUCACCGGCAGAAGAAGAUGAAGUCAGGAUGGUUGACAUGACGCAACCUCAGCCAAUUGUCUGCGGCUUUGAAAAGGGAGUUCACAAGCUGGUGACCAGAGCCUUUGGUACUCGUCCAUACAGAACCUCUCAACUUGUAUGUGGCGAGGCCAAAGACAGGAAGCAUUGUCUUCUCAACACUCUCCCUUGGCUGCACCUCACACAUAGACUGUGUUGUAACUUCUGCACCUGCUAGAACCGAAGAUAGAUAGUCACCACCUCAUAAUAAUUAACAUAAUUACCAUGCCUAGACUAAUAAAACGAAUUGCUGAUUGAUUUACCUAAGAAAUUGUAUCAACUAGUAGUGUUUCUAAUAUAUAAAUGCUGAGUACCAAAUGUUACCUUGAAAGGGUGCGUGAAGAGAAUGAUACGUCAAGAAGCAAGCAUCCAGAUCCUUGAGUGUUGGUCCUGUGGGUAUUUUGUAAAUUGGGUACCUACAAAGUAUAGUAAUUGAUUAUAAGAGACAUGAGGGGGACAAUGUUGAUUAAAGCAUGUGCACAUGGGACAAAGAAGGAUAAUACCAUGCCACGGAGAACCAGCUUGAAGGCAGUAAAUCACAGCUUCUCAGCGUCUUCAGCUCAGGAAAGCUAGAGGCAAGGUCACACAUCUGCAAUGUUAACAACUGAAUAAGACAGCUAUCUUAAGAAAUGCACAUGAGACCUGGAGAAGUUGCUAGACGGUAGCUGAACGUUGUACAGUCACUUGAUAGUAUGCGUUGGAGCAAUUACAAUUGAGAAGAGUUGUUGAAUAUAAUAGCAUUUACAUUCAUACAAUAAAUAUUUGAUGUUACUUCGUCAAUAAAAGCAUCUUUCAGUACCUAACUUCCGUGUAGACGCAUACAUAAAUUUAUUUCAAACCAUGAGAAAUGUUAAUAGUUUAGUCUAAAACACACUUAACCUGUUUUCUGAAUCUAUAUGAUCUUUAAUAACUUGUACACAAUAUAAACUUGUACACAAAUAACACAUGCCUUGCUAACUUGAUAUACAGAGUUAAAAUAGAGACAAACCUUGUCGGUAAAGGGUUCGCGGAUGUAAGGAAGAUCACGUUCAAGAUACUCAAAGAUCAAACGACCUUGAGAGGCUAAAGGCUCCCCAUCAUCAAUUCAUCACUAGACGAGUCUUCCAUAUGCUCCUUUCUUAAAGAGAGUCCUCUUUCUGACUCACUGCUGCUUCCUUCGCUGCUUGAAUCCUUGAAAUCACUGUCACUCUCCUCACUUAGCCGCCUGCAGUAGGACAAGACUUGAGUUAUAGACUGAAGGCAGAGAGGUUCAAAAACACUUGAUUUGGUACCUUGAGCUUAAGGGAUGAGAAUCAGCAUAGAGUUGGAUGGCAGAGAGAGAAGGAACGUAGUAUUGAAAGACACGAUCUUUAUAAUAACUGUUGUUGUUAUUCAAAGAGAGAGGAACUCCAGUGCCGUAAGCACUCCACUCUGCAAACGAUUCCCAUACAUCACCAAGAACAAAGUACGGAGGAGGCUGCUGCAACUCAACAACAUCACUGCCUCUCCUUUCUUUGACCAUCGUCUGCGUGUAAACAAAAAGUUCUAUUCUUUAUAUAAAAAGGUAUUGACUUUAGAGUCUUUGACGUGUCGAAACAAACCUUGGGAAGGUAGUGGGCAGGCACAGAUGGUGUGACUGACUCCAAGAACCGUUCAACAUUGCUUGAAGACGAAGCGGGAGAAGUGUUUAUCGAUCUGCCGUGAGAGACGUCGCUCUGAGCUCUCUGUAGCUUAGUCAAAUGAAACCCAGCUCCCAGCAUCUCUUUUUUUUAGCAACACACGGCAAAGCAGAUGAUGAAUGGAUUAGACAGCAACACUUGUGUUUCCACUAGUCGUACUUGAUUCAGCUUCUGUAACAAGUUAGUUGAGAAAAAUCGAAGUGGAGUUCCUCUAAGAAGAUGUAGAUCAGUGUAAGAAAUGAAAAUGACAACGAGGAAGAUGAGAGAUUAUAGAACUGAGAACUUAUUAAAAGGAGUUUUAGAAUGAUUGAAGCUAAAGAGGGAGAGAGAGAGAAGAUUUUGAGAUCUUUUUGAGAUAUUUUUGUUACCAAUAAUACACCCCAAACCACUGUAAAUAUGUGAGAUCUUUUUGAUAGAAAACAAAAUUUUAGUCAUUUUCUAACAGAAACAAAAUUAUUUGAACACGUCCCAAAAUAAAUUUACAAUGUUGACAAGUGAAAUUUAUUGUGAUUUUUGAAAAAAAAAAAGAAUUUCGCAUGAUAAAAAAAAGUAUAUAACAAAUGCAAUACAUGUUGCCACUUCUCAUGAUAUCAGAAAAUGAAUUCAUGCACGUGGACCCUGUUAUUACAGUUUCAUUUUAUUUUCUUGCAAUAAACCGUAUCAUUAUUAGAGGUAGAGGAUGUGCACAUGAUCGAUACAUUCUAUUGUCAUUUUCUGCCAAAAAACAAUUGAUAAUGCAGUAGAAGUGGCGAUGAUAUAAAGUUGAGUAUGUUAAUGUGUGAGGUGUGUUGUUGUGUGUCCUUAUGACCAAGACAGAUGGUGUUGACUUGUGGUUGGAGUCACUUUGUCGACUUUCUAAGAUCAAUUGCUGACUCAGCCGCUGCUCACUCACUUUCUUUUUGUCCUCUAGCUCAACGGCGCGUGGACAAAACAAAAACUCGCCUAUCUCCGGUUCCUUUUAUUUUCCCAAUUAGUAAUGGGCCGAUAACAGUAUAAACGAAGCCCAAUACGAAAAGUUUGUCGGAGAACAACUAUCGUCGCCGGUCAAAGCGUUGUCGUUUCAAAACAGAGACCUUCGUUUUUCUCUCAACGGAAGGAGGGAAGCUCCAUCGCUCUUAGAUCUUCACUCUGAAACUUCAAAGACAAAAGGAAGAUUAAUUUAAAGCCUCGAGCUUUCGGAUCAGCUUACCAUUUGCUUAUACUCAACUGGAUUUGAUGUCUCUGAUACACCUGUUUUUGCUUGUGAGUUUGGUGAGCCUUGAAGCUGAUGCUACGACGUCGUUUUCCUCCGGAUCGCGCUCGAUUCUCAGAGACAUCGGUAGUAACGACAUCUCCGAUCAUAAAGAUAACGCCGUGGAGUUGAACGCGACCAACUUUGAUUCAGUUUUCCAAGACACCUCCGCCAAGUUCGCCGUUUUGGAGUUCUUCGCUCACUGGUCAGUCUUCUCUCUAGAUUCAAUCUGGAAAAAAGCUUCGAUCUUUCGUUUAGGAAUGUUCCUAAGUCCUGAGAUUUAUCAAGAAAAAGUUUUAACUUUACGUGUUUUAAAAUUGAAUGCGAAAGUCUUGUUUUGUGCCGUUCCGACAUUGACAAUUGUUUUUGUCUGGUUACAUUGAUGAUUCAAGGUGUCCUGCAUGUAGAAACUACAAGGUAAACAGCGCCAUUCAUUGUCCCCUCUUUGUCAGAUGCUGUUUGUAUUCAAUGCUUUGAAACUGUGUGACUCUCUGCAGCCUCAUUAUGAGAAAGUCGCUAGGCUCUUCAAUGGACCUGAGGCAGUACAUCCUGGUACCGUUUUGAUGACCAGGGUUGAUUGUGCAGUAAAGGUACUUGCCCCUCCCAUCUUCCUUGGUUUUUUAGGGACAACGUGUAUCAAGAACUUUUAUACUCUCUGUUUCUCUUUUACUUCUAAUUGUUUUCUUAUAACUUUUCUGGCAGAACAGAUGAAUAUUAAGCUCUGUGAUAAAUUCUCCAUCAAACGUUAUCCAAUGCUCUUCUGGGGCCCUCCCAGUAAGUUCGUUGGCGGCAGCUGGGAACCUAAACAAGAGAAGAGUGAGAUACUUGUGGUCGAGGAAUGGCGUACUGCUGAUCUUUUGUUGGGCUGGAUUAACAAGCAGCUAGGCAGGUAAUGCGUUCACUUAAAUCUCAUGUCUACCAUUUAAAUUGAAGUCAUAUUUAUUGUGAACAUAUUCUGUUUUGUUUCUCAUGUUAAAUGUUGUGCAGCUCUUAUGGCUUGGAUGACCAGAAAGUUGGAAAUGACCAUCUCCUGCCGAAUAUAUCCGACCAUGAACAGGUUUCUCAGAAUGUGUUCUGCCUCCACUUUGCUUAUAUUUGUAGCAUUUGGUUUAAUUGAAAAGAAUAAGUAAACAGAGAUGGUUGUUGAUAUAAUCACAGAUUUCUCAGGCCGUAUUUGACAUUGAGGAGGCAACUGAAGAAGCUUUUGAUAUCAUUUUGUCACUCAAGGUAGAGCUACUCUUUUGAUUUUUACUGUAUGUAUGCAUGCAUGUAUAAUCACUUUCAGCCUUGUUGAUGAGUAGUGAAUUGACACAGGCAAUCAAGUCUUCUGAAACUGGCGCUUCGUUUAUUAGGUUUCUUCAGCUUUUGGUUCCACAUCAUCCUUCAAAAAGGUAAAACAUCAUCUCCAUUUCCGUUUCUCUUCUCACUCUUCUCCCUCAAGCCUAAUUGAAUGUUGAAAAUGUAUAUAGGUGUCGUAAGGGAAGUGCUGAGAUUCUCAUGAACUUUGAUGAUUUGUGCCCAGCAGGCGAAUGCUCUUAUGAUUCUGGAGUGAACAAUACUCUACGAAAUUUCCAUAUAUGUGGAAAUGAUCUUCCUCGUGGAUAUUACGUGAGUGUUCCUAACAACUUGCUUUACUGUUUCCCUACUCUGCUUUAAACACAGAGAAGUCUGAUUCUUAAUCAUAUUGCCAGAUGUUUUGCCGUGGCAGCAAGAAUGAAACUAGGGGAUUCAGGUAGUGCUUUGCAAACUCAGUCCUUUCUUAAAUUAUUUUAGAUGUUGAUAGGAUCUUUUCAAAAUGGUUUGGCUGCAGCUGCGGAUUAUGGAUUUUGAUGCAUUCACUUUCCGUGAGGAUAGAGGAUGGAGAAAGUCAGUUUGCAUUCACAACCCUUUGUGAUUUCAUCAACAACUUCUUCAUGUGUGAUGAAUGCCGCCGCCAUUUUCACGACAUGUGCUUAAGGUAAAAAGAGAGAUCCAUCCCCAAGUUAGAUAUUAUCACAUCCUUUCUCUCAUCUAACAGCUUUUAUGUGUUGUUUUCACUGACCAGCGUGAAAACUCCGUUUAAAAAGGCGCGUGACGUCGUCUUGUGGCUGUGGAGCACACACAACAAGGUCAACGAGAGGCUCAAAAAGGACGAAGAUUCUCUCGGAACGGGAGACCCUAAGUUCCCUAAGAUGAUAUGGCCACCAAAGCAGCUUUGCUCGUCUUGUUAUCUUACGAGCACUGGGGAGAACAUUGACUGGGAUCACGAUGAAGUCUACAAGUUCUUGAAGAGGUACUACGGAGAGAAACUGGUGUCAUCUUACAAGAAAAAGAGUGCUGGUGGUGUGAGUAAGGAGGAGGUGGUUGUUGCAGCUGCUGAAGAAAUGUCAGUGCCUAGAAACGCACUAGUUGUCCCGGUGGGAGCUGCAUUGGCUAUAGCACUUGCGAGCUGCGCAUUUGGGGCGCUUGCUUGCUACUGGAGGACACAGCAGAAGAACCGGAAGCAUCACCACAAUCCGCAUUAUCUGAGGAGAUAUAGUAGUAACUAUUUGGUGAUGAACACGUUCAGUAACAUUGAAAGCGAGAGGGAAAAGGAGAGAUGAAGUUAUUUAAAGAAGAAGAAGCUCACGUUUUUUUUUAAUCAUUCUGGCAGAGGGAUUAGCUGGAACUGAUGUUGAGCUUUGUUUAUGUUGUAACUUUAUUUUUUAACAGAUUGUAUAGAUUAUUCUCUCCAAUUUUGGAAUAUACAGUAGACACCUUUUAUAUCUAUAUAUGUCAAAACAAAAUUUCUCCUUCAAAUUCUAUUGAAUUUCCCGCCUUUCAUUGGUGUUUUGUGAUCAUCUUCUGCUGCAGUCUCUAUAGCAACAGCUUUUUAGUCUGUUGGCUAAAUGGAAUGGAUUCUAAGAUUCAGUUACACUGAAGCCAAUGGGCUUACUAGUAAACCCAACUCAAUGACGGUCGUCAGCCCUGUCUGUCUUGCGGUAGCAUUGUAAAGGCUGUGUGUUUUAAAUAUUGAAGCAGAGCCAUCUUUAAAGUUCCAUAGGUUUGGUUUCAGUCUCAAGCCAGACAGGUUUAGGUUUCGGUGUAUAUGGGUUCCGGCUUUUCGGGUAUUACAAUUUUGGAUCCAUUCAUUAUUUAAUCAGUAUUUCAGUAUUGGUUCGGUACUAUUUUUUCGGAUCAGGUUUGGUUCGUUUAUUCGGACCCACAAUAUUUUGCCCAGCCUCAAUGAAACAUGUUUUAGUUCUUGUUUCCAAAUUCAGUAUUUGUUGGUAUUCAUACUAGUUUGUGGAAGUUGAAAUGAUUAACACUGAAUUUGAGAUCGGUUUAAUCAGUUGACCGUACAGACAAAUUUCCAAAAGCACAGUUUGAAUCAGACUCUUAUUCAGACACAACACACUACACAGCUAGUACAAUCCAGAAUUUUGUUUUGGAUCUUUCCAAAUUUAAAAUUCACGAAGAUGCUAAAAACCUAGACGAUAACGUUUGUUUCACAACAUCAUCACCACCACCGAACAAGCCUUUCCCCAAAACCCAACCUUCGAUCAUAUCCCUCGAGUUAACAGCUUUGUCUGUCGGAACAAGAUGCCCUGCUCCUGAAACCGCCACCUGCGUCAAAUUCCCCCACCUCUGUACAUAACCCGCGAGAUCACCUUCCCCGUCCUUCCACACCCUCCUCUCCGCCGUCAAGAACGCACCCAACCCCGACCACUUCAUAGUCUUCACCCACUCCUCCACCGAAACGACGCCGUCUCGAAGAUCCAGCAUACCUUGAUACAACAGCACGCUGGUUCUCUCCAACGCGUACUCCACCAUGAACUUCACGCUCUUCAUCACGUCUCCACGUAAAGCCUCGUCCACCUCAUCGCUGCAUUCCUCAAAACGCACCGUUUCGCUCGCUCCCAAAACCUUUUUCGCCUCUCUAAGGUUCAUGAGAUCCACCACGAGGUCCGUCCUGUACGGGAUCAUCCGCGCUUGGUUGUAGAGCGUCGCGAGGCCCGUCAUGUUGCGGAGCAGCGUCAGUAACUCGGUUCUCGCUUUCGUUGCUUCGCGCCAUUUCUGAGCCUUCGCGAGAGCUACGGAUGUCUCUUGAGCUUUCUCCAGCGCCUCUCUCUGUUUCGCGUUGACUAAACCGGAGUAGUAAGCGUUGACCGCGUGGGUCCGGAUCUGGAUCACCGGGUCGGUCAGCCCGUUUCCGAUGGCGAGGCCCAUUAGAUUCACCUUCCCGUUGGGCUUUUCUUUAAGGAUGUAGUAUCCGAUGGCGGGAACGUAUUUUCCUGCGUAGCUCUCGCCGGUUAUGUAAACCGGCCGGUUUUCAAAACCCGGGUUCUGCUCCAUGAACUCAACGAGCGCUGCGUAGAGUUGCUCUGCCACCUGUUUUUGAUUUCUUGGUAUGUGUUGUUUUGAAGCGGCGAUGCUGAACCCGGUUCCGAUGGGGCUAUCCAAGAAGAGUAGACCGAAGAGGCGGUUCCAGGCGCCAGGGUUGGGUUCGAGGUUGGUGGCGUUUGAAAGCACGCGCCAAGGGCCGAGCUCGUAGAAGUUGCCGAUCAUGGAAGAGCAGCCUGGCCCGCCUUGGAGCCAGACGAGGAGGGGAGUGUUGGGGAGAGGAGUGGUUGGCUUUUGGGCUUCGUAGAAGGCGUAGAACAUGGAGGAGCCUGGGGCGGGUUUAACCGGGAGGUAACCGGAUUUAGUAGGGAGAGCUUCAUCGGGAAACAGUGGAGGAGGUAGAGACUGGACGGAGAUGGAAAGGAGGAUAGUGGAGAGCAAAAAGAAGACUGUAGGGACGUGCUUCAUUAUCGCCACUACCUAGUGGCUUUACGUAAAGAUCGCUUUGUAUUAUUUGACUGCGAAACAUUCUUUUGUGUUUUGUCUUGUAACCGAUGUAAAGUGGCUAGCAAGUAGCAACAUUAUUUUUGGUUUUAUUAAUCAAGACCUGAUUACAUCCUCUACUCGUGGCUUUGCAUAAAAGUCGCUUUGUAUUAUUUAACUGCGAAACAUAGUUGUGCUUAUUUAAGAUGCGACUCUACUUUUGGUUUUAUUAAUCAAGACGUGGUUACCAACAUAAUCGCAUAAACAUGAAUACUUUAGCGAUGCUUUUCAUAUUGUUUUAUACUCCAAUUUAAUUGGCCCAAUAAUAAAAAGCUAAAAAGAAUCUCAUCUCGGCCCACAAAAGAGUGGAUAAUACAGUUACAGGGCCGUAUUGAUGUUUUAACGACUUGCUUGCUUCCCCGUUGCAUCUUUCGCGAGAAGUUUCAUUAUUGUCCGGAAGAGGUGGUUAUGUUUUGGUAAAGCGAUCACAAGGUGUUCGAUAUAAUACCUGAGAGAGUUUCCACAGCUUUCUUCUGAUUCUUACUCGGUUUGAGUGAGCUGGAUCUUCCACGAUGAAGACGAUGAUCUUGGAUGUUUGCAAUGAGAUUAUAAAGAUCCAGAAGCUAAGACGGGCUGUCUCUUACGCUGGAUUCUACUGCUUCACUGCAGCCCUCACAUUCUUCUACACAAACAACACGUAAUACAUCCUUCAAAAUCUAGCUUUGAAUCUCAGUUUCCUUCAUCUGUUUGUUCUUCCGCAGCUUUGUUUGGCUUCUUCUCUCACGGAUUCGAAUGUUUUUGUAGAACAAGAGCAGGAUUCUCCAGGGGAGAUCAGUUUUAUGCAUCUUACCCUGCGGGUACCGAACUUCUUACCGACACAGCUAAGGUUAGCCCUUGUUGUCUUUUCACAGAGACAUUUGACUUGUGUCCUUUAGAGUUGACAUAGCUGAUUUGAUUUUGCUCUCUGUAUUACAUAUUGGUUUGGAAUUGAUGAAACGGGUUUUGGUAUUAAAAGCUGUACAAAGCGGCGCUUGGGAAUUGCUAUGAAUCUGAGGAUUGGGGUCCUGUCGAGUUCUGCAUAAUGGCUAAGCAUUUUGAGCGCCAGGGAAAGUCUCCAUACGUUUACCACUCUGUAAGUUUCCUUCAAUCUCUCUAUCAUCUUAAAUUUGGUUUCCUAAGAUAUUGUGUGAUUGAAGGUCAGUUUCUGUAAAUGCUAGGGACUUUCUGGUGUGGCAUAUGUUGAUAGAAAUGUUUGUUAGAAUCAUGUGGGUUAGGUCUUGAAUACAAAACCAAGUGUUGAGUUCUUUUGUUUGUAAAUGCAGCAAUACAUGGCUCACCUUCUUUCUCAAGGCCAACUUGAUGGGAGUGGCUAAAGCACAACUCCUUUUUUUUCAGAUGUGUACCUAAUCUUGUUAUUGCAAAAUCAAACUCGGGUGUCUGGAACUCUGUCCUUCACUCUUUUUCCUCAUUUGUACGGAAUAUAAGAACUUGUUUUGAGAUGUAAGCCCACAAUGUAAUAAACACAUAAGAUGAGACCUUGAUAUGGUGUACAAAUCAAGUAAACACUUCGAUAGGCUUAGCGAGCCGUGAUAAAUAAAACUAGGCUAAUAACCCUCUUUUGAACUUAUUAGUCACAAACUAAAUCUUACAAUUCAUCCAGUUGAAGCACAUCAAGGAAGGGUUUAAACUUUUAGUGCAUUGUAUACAUCAUACAUGCCUAAUUUAUUUAGCCGUUUGAUCACAUAAGGGUCAGGCUUGAGCUACUGUCCAACCAACCCCAUGAUUAUUGAGUAGGCCUCUUUUCUGUUCACCUCCCCCUCAUGAUAUCAUCAUCUUGCAACAUUUUGUGCUUCUGAUUCUUUGCAAUUAUACUAGUGUAUAGAUCCGCAUAUAAAUGGAUUGAGCAAAAGGACCAGACCAAGAAGGGCUUUCUUGAAGACUUGUUCAGUCCGCUUGCUUGUCGAGUCAAUUACCAGUCGUUACCAAUGGGAUUCUACAUCAUUACUAAACUUUCUUUAGAAAAUAUUAAAACUGACAAAAGUCUAUAAAUGGGCCAGGCCCAUUAAAUAGUUACCAAUAUAUUCUAGGGCCUAAUACAUGCGAAUCAAACCUAAACCCUCGGCCUUUUAACGUCCCUCUAAACCCUACGACCUAGAACAUUCCGUCUCCCAUCUUGUUCCCCAAAUUAAAAACUCAGAAAACCCUAGAAUUCAUCACACUCACCACCACACCGAGGGAGAGAGAGAAAUGAUGAAGCGUCUGGUCCCAACGUUCAACCGCAUCCUGGUGAAGAGAGUCAUCCAGCCUGCCAAAACCGAGAGCGGCAUCCUCCUCCCAGAGAAAUCCUCCUCUGUAAGUCCCCGCUCAUUUGUUUCACCGAUCUGAUCUUUUUCUGAUUUGGCCUUCGAAAAGGUCUUCUAGAAUGAUUAUGAGCUUUUUCUUGGAUGGCUUACAGCUGAACUCCGGCAAGGUGAUAGCAGUGGGGCCUGGAUCGAGGGAUAAGGAUGGGAAAUUGAUUCCGGUCUCUGUCAAGGAAGGCGACACCGUUCUUCUUCCCGAGUACUGUGGUACUCAGGUCAAGCUCGGCGACAAUGAGUAAGUCAAACCAAGCUUUCUUAUUGAUUUUACCUUCCUUUUUAGCAAUGUUAGAAUUUAGAAAAUGUCAAAAGGAUCUUAGUGAACAAACUCUUUAUCAGUGGAAUAGAAUAGCAAUUUCAACACCAUAGUGAAUCAUGUGCAAGACAUUUUGAUGUUGAAAAGUGGAUAAAUUGGAUUGAAAGUAAGUAAUGUUUGUUUGUUUGUUGGUGAUGGACGUAGGUACCAUCUCUUCCGGGAUGAGGACGUCUUGGGAACCUUGCACGAGGACUGAGUUACAACUACUACGAGCGUUCUUGUUGGCGUUUGUGUUAUGGAUUAAAAGAAAUUCAUAUUUCUCCUUUUUUUAUAUGUUGGGUUUGGACUUUGUUGAUUAUCAUUGAUAUUUACCUUAAUAAAUCUUAAAACUGAUUCCAAUCUUUGUGCUUAUUCCGAUAAUCUGCUGACCAAAUAAGUUUUAUCAUUUGAAAAGUGGUUCGUCUUUGCGUAUUCAGAUAUCUUCUUCUAAUUGUGGAUCAUUGCCUCUUCUAAUCAUAUUAAUGACCAUAAACGUACGUAAACGGGUGCAUUCAAUUCGAAUUAAACAAGAAAUAGAUUCAAAGAGGUAACUUAUAAAAAACACAGAAGAAGGAGUGUACAAUAAACAUACAAAUAAAACUCUCCGAUAACUUCACCGGUGUUAAUCUGCGGAAUGCAAACAAUGCAAUAUCCUCACGGCGUAACGCCCUAACGGAGGAGGGAAACAAUGAUUCCCCAGGUGGAGAGAGAUCCGUCUAUUCAAAUUCGUCUCCCGGAAAGCGGCUGCUCUACUCCAUCUCCGCCUGCUUCGCCUCUUCUCAGCCGGAGCCGUUCUAAAUCCUUCCUACAGCCGAAUCGGACUCUCCCUCACCGCGUCUCUUGGAUCCUCUUAUCGCUUCUUCUCCGUCGUCAGGGGAUUCUACUCUUCGCUCCUCUCAUCUACAUCUUCUGUAUGCUCUUUCACAUGCGCACGGCGUCGUUUGAUCCCGGUCCCUUCAUCAAUCGCCGCCCCGCGCCUGGAUCCGUUUACAGAAGCCCGCAGGUUUACGCUAAGCUGCAAGCGGCGAUGGUUGCUGAUAACGCCACGGCUGAUGCGGUGAGGUUUGCCUCCGUUGUAUCCACAUUGUUUGAUUCUGUUAUUCAUAUCUCAAUGUGGGAAGGUUGGAUGUUUUCUUGGUUGAUUCGGGGCUUGUGAGCUGAGUCAUUCUAUGAACUGUAUUCAUUCUUAGAUAUCAACAAUUUGGAAACGUUCAUAUAAAGGUGUGGAGUGGAAGCCGUGCGUGAACAAGUCCAGUGGAGGUAUUAUAUAGCUUUCGUUGUUAUUGUCCUAUGCAAUAAAUUAAUAGCAUUGAUGAAGCUUUUCAUGUCACAACGUUCUCAAUUUGAUGAAUAAUGUAGAACAGAAUCACUGAGUUUUUUUUGUUUGUUUAUUGUUGAGAAUUGUAGUUUUGCCUGAGUCAAAUGGUUUCAUAUUCAUUGAGGCAAAUGGAGGUUUGAAUCAGCAGCGGACUUCGGUAGGUUUGUCUAUCUUUUCAUCUUACAGUAAAUUUGAUUUGUUUCACUCUACCGUUCGUGCAUGUGUCUGGUGAUAAAGUUAUUGAUUUGUCUCUACCAUGUUUUGUUUAGAUAUGCAAUGCGGUUGCUGUGGCAGGCUACCUUAAUGCGACUCUUGUGAUUCCCAACUUUCACUAUCACAGCAUUUGGAAAGAUCCGAGGUUUUAGAUAUUUGUUUUUUUUUUGUCUUCUCUUGGUGUUGUCAAGCAAAGACGUCCUUUUUCAACUACUUGUUCACAGAGUGCUUUUCGUGCAGUAAAUUUGGGGAUAUCUAUGAUGAGGAAUACUUUGUCACUACCUUAGCAAAUGAUGUGCGGGUAGUCGAUACAGUUCCUGAGUACUUAAUGGAGCGUUUUGACUAUAACUUGACAAAAGUCUACAACUUCAGAGUUAAAGCAUGGGCACCGACUCACUAUUACCGGGACUCUGUCCUGCCAAAGCUACUUGAAGAAAAGUGAGUCACACUCUGUUCUGAACUUAUAAAAGGAUAUUUGAUUCUGUUUUAGGACACUUGUUUUUGAAUUAUUUGCUGUCUUUUUCCAUGUUACAGGGUCAUAAGAAUAUCCCCAUUUGCAAAUAGACUUUCGUUUGAUGCUCCGAGACCUGUCCAGAGAUUUCGAUGUUUGGCCAAUAAUGUCGCUUUGCGAUUUGCAAAACCCAUAUUGACCCUAGGAAAAACACUGGUGAAGAAAAUGAAAGAGCUUAGUGCUAACAACGCCGGGAAGUACGUUUCUGUGCAUCUUCGGUUUGAAGAGGUUUGUUACCUGUAAAGGAGAAAUGCUUCAUUAUAUCAUGGCUGCACACAUACUGAAUAAAGAUAUGUGUGUUUGCAGGAUAUGGUAGCUUUCUCUUGUUGUGUAUUUGAUGGCGGCAACCAAGAAAAACAAGACAUGAUUGCGGCGAGAGAACGGGGGUGGAAAGGGAAAUUCACAAAACCUGGCCGCGUGAUACGACCCGGAGCUAUCAGGCUCAAUGGGAAAUGCCCUUUAACUCCUUUAGAGGUAAGCAUAAACAUUAUCUUCGUAUUACAUUCAUCCAACUGGAGUAAUCAGAGUAGUUGUGCAAAGUGCAAACUCUUGUGAGCAAUGAUGUGAGUAGAGUAGCUUGUUCCUGUUGGCUUCCUUGUACACCUAUCAGGUUGGGUUGAUGCUUAGAGGAAUGGGAUUCAACAAAAGCACAUAUAUAUACCUGGCCUCUGGGCCGAUAUAUGGUGCAAAUAGAACUAUGGCUCCACUACUGGAGAUGUUCCCGAAUCUACAGACGAAGGAGAUGCUUGCUUCUGAGGAAGAACUUGCUCCUUUUAAGGUCUGCUUCUGGUUUCCAUGAUCUUCCAUUUUUUGCUUAUCCACGUGAUGAAUCACUUCUGACUUAGCGUGCGUUCAGAACUUUUCCUCGAGAAUGGCUGCACUAGAUUACACAGUGUGUCUCCACAGUGAAGUAUUUGUGACAACACAAGGAGGAAACUUCCCUCAUUUCCUCAUGGGGCAUCGGAGGUACUUGUUUGGAGGACAUUCGAAGACGAUUCGGCCUGACAAGAGAAAGUUAGCCGUACUCUUUGACAAUCCCAAGUUAGGGUAACGAUGCUUACCUAACUACAUGCUUUUUGGUUUAUAGUUUCUGGUUGGUCCCUCAAUGGUUGUUUCUGAUAUCACCGGCAGAUGGAGAAGUUUUAAACAUCAAAUGCUAAACAUGAGGUCUCA